AGGAGACGCGUGUGUUUAUUUACGGCAACUGGGGAAGAGAAAACGAACGCGGCUUUCCGCAUGUAACGGGUUACAUAUCAUUCUCAAACUGACACGUGGGCCCGCACUUCGGUGGGGCCCACUUUGUCAGCGUAAAACAAGUAAAAAUGUAUGGAGACCCCUCAACUGUAUGCUAAUUUUAAAUAACGUCCUCAACUUUUAUCUUUAAUUGUUCUUUAGAAUUAAAUGAUUUUAUUUUAUUAAAUUUAUUUACAAUAUUAUAUAUUUCAGAAAGUAAAAUAAGAUAUAUUUAGAUUAUAAAAUUUGAUAAAAUAUUUAACUUUAUAUAAGUGGAGGGGCUUGAGUAAUAAAAAAAGGACGGAAAUGAGGAGCCAAUUUCAAAUAUACUAUAGUUGAGGGGUCUCCAAGCGUUUUUACCUUCUUCGGCUGUGCAUGCGUGUGCUUAUCAUGGCAACGGGUGUAAAGAGAAACUGCUUGUAUCCAUUCAGUGCAACGGUGACAUAUCACUUAACUGCGCAACGUGGGUCCCACUAGUUCUAAGUGGGGCCCACUUGUCAGUAACCCGAUCUCGGCGAAGGGCAAAAGCGGAAUUUCACAUUUUAUAAUAAUGCAAUAAAGUUUCAGGAGCCGCACCAGUUCCUACAACGUGACAAACCAGACACGAUCCACUACAAUCGCGGUCGUACGAUUCUCCCGUCCGUACUACGUGUCUAAUUCUUAUUGGUUGCUAUUUUCAAACUCUCUUAAAUACAAUAAUAACACCUACUCACGGAGAGUUAUUGCAUACAACCGUUGCACCGUGCACCGUGCACCGUAUUCGAAAGUUUUAAUAAAAAUAUAAGAUAAAAACUUACAAAUCAUUUUGAAUUUGUUUGAUUUGAAUUAAUCAAUAAUAUUUUAAUUUCAAAUUUAAAAGUAUCAUUUAUUUUUAAAGGUUUAGUUAGUGUAAUUCAUGUAAUUUUUACAACUAUAAAUUUAUUAAAAUAAGUAAUUAGUUUAAAUUUUGGAGUAAACUAUAUAUUAUUGCCUAACUCGAAUUAAACAAAUCGAAAGAUAGAUAAUAAAAUUAAAAUUUUUGAAAGGUUUGUGGACGAUUCAAGAUAGUUCAUAGUUCAAAUAAGUUCUGUACGUUUUUAUCUAAAAAGUACUUAUUUAAAAAAAAAUAGUUUAUUAAACUUAUUUUUGUAGCUUUUAAAAGAUAUAUCUUUAAUAAAAAAAAAUUUAAAAUUUCGAUUUUCUCUUAUUAUGAAUUGAAUAAAUUUAAUAUUUAAUAUUUAAAUAAUAUAGUUUAACAAUAUAAAUUCUCUAUGUAUACUUUUCAUUUUUUAUUGGCUCAUGCAUAUAGUCCAAAAUACCAUGGCAUAUUGUUCAGAUACAUAACAUGACUCUUCUGUAAACAUCUUUUUGUCUUAUCAGGCAAAAUACUAUAUUAUGUACAUUACAAUAUUAAAUAUUUUUUUAAAAAAAUUUAAUUUUAUACAGAUCCUUAUAAAAAUAUCAAAAAAAAGAUAAAUCUUUACAAAACUCAAAUUAUUAGAUUUAUAUCCCUUCAAAAAUCUCCGACUUGCAAAUAUAUUCCUCCAAAAAUUCUGGUCCGUUUAUAUAUGUUCAUACCGUUUGAUUCACCGUUAAUUUUUUAAUAGUAGGUGCGUAUUAUAAAGUUGUUUACGCAAAAAGUUAUCUUUCUUUCUCUCUCUCCUCGACUUCGUCGCGGCACGUGCAGCGUAUCUUAUUUUUGCCACGACCGAGGGCCUCGUAUUCAGCGUAGCCGCCGACAUAGGUCCUGCCGUCGCCAUGGAUAAAGAGAUGAGAAUGAGAAAAAUGACGGAAUUCAAUAUUAGAAUACAAAUUAUAUAUGUAUAUGUGGGGUAACAAAGUCAUUUCGCUCUUUAGCUAACUGUGAUUAGCUUUUUUAACUCGUGAUUAUCUAAAUUUUGGUUACAGAAGGAUAUACCUGCAAACCAGAGAGCUUUUGGAGGGAUAAAUUGAUAACUUCAGUUAUGUAUAUUUAUUAUUUGAUACUUUUAUAAGGUGUCAUAUGCAAUUAUCCCUCUAUUAUCUGAUACUUGUCACUUGUGUAAAAUUUUUUGUGCCACCCACAAAUUAUGGGGCUUUCUAGGGGCCUUUGUGUAAAAACCCUUUGUUCUUUCUCUACAGUGCAAUUUGUACUAUCUACAUAGGGAGAGGAAUAGAAGAUAGAGUGGUGUUUUGAUUGAUGUGGUUAUGAUUGGGCUACACAAAGGUUCCAUUCACAUUUCACACUGUUGUUGAGUGACAUACAUGUAUCACAGUUACACCAAAGGGGUUACACCAUAGGGAACUCCAAUGUAUUAUGAUUGCAUGAUUUGAUUGAUUGAUUGGUUUUGAAGGUUUAGAUUGAUUGAUAGAUAGAUUGAGGGAGAGGUACCAAAUUGGUUAUUAUUAUUUAGGUUAGUUAAGUAUUUGGAAAAUGCUUUGCACAUAGGAGUUAAUGUUGACAAAACUAGUAUUAAUUUUGUCUCAAAUGUAGUGUAGUUGGAGAUACAUGGAGUUGGAAGUACAGCAGUUGUAACUACAUGCAUUCUGUUUGGUUGGAUAUAGUAGAAAGGCAUUGCAACUAUAAAUAAUUUGUUUGGUUUCAUAUAGUUGGGAAAUGAUUUUUAAAAUUUUAUUAUUUUGUAUAUAUGAUGGUGAGAUUAUCUCCAAUAUAAAAAAGAAAAAUAUUUUUUAUUUAAAAAAUAAUUAAGGAUGUAAGCAUAUAUUUUUGUUUAAAUUUACUUUUUGCAACUGCUGCUGUAGUCGGAACUAUGGUCAAUUUGGGCGUAGUUCAAACUGCUGCAAUUGUGCCUCCUUUUUGUAGUUUCUACUGCAAGAGUUUAAGUUAAAUAUAUCAAACCAAACAUCGAAUUUGCAUUUCUAUACAGUUACAACUGUCGUGCAGUUGUAAUUAUAUGCAAUCAAAUGGCACCUAAAAGACUCUAUAUUAGAUAUGCUAAUAUAUUAAUACUACUCAUUAGAUUUUUGCAAAAAUUAAUUGUUUCAUUACUUAUUAGUUGUUAAUUAUUAACAAAAAAUUUACACAUGCUUUGGCUCGAAAGUAGUUUGAGUUUGAACCACAAAAUUUGACUGGAUAGCCAAUUAAUUUAAUAAAUUUUGUUUUUUUUUUAAAAGUAGAGUGCUUAUUUCAAGAGUACUACUACACGCUAAUACGCUAUCAAUAACAUUUAAGCCGAAUUAAGAGUUUUUAGUCCUAUUAUAUCUUAUAUAUAGGACUAUCUGGGGGUCUCACAUUCUUCCCCCCUUAAGCCUUCCUAAACCGACCUUGUGGUGAGCCGCGCUCUACCCACAACAGUCAACAGUAUGGAAAACUCGCUCAGUUGAGACUCACGCUUAACUCUCUUAACUUCUUAGGCCUAGCCGCCGCCCAAAAUGCUUAACCCUGUUCAAGAGUUUUUAGCCUUAUUAUAUCUAAUAUGGACUACCUCGGGUCAAACAAGUAUGCUACCCGCUUAGUUUAUUAUUUUAGAAAACUUAGAUGGAAAUGUGAAUCAACUAGAAUUCGAACUUGGGAUCUCGGAUAUCAACCACCAAACUCUUUGCCACUUGUGUUGGAGAUAGUAGGUAUUUAUCUGCUAUUCUUAGAAGCACCCAAAUUGGAUUAUACAAUAUAUGCAUGCGAUCUAAAAUGCUAUACAAAUUUGUCAGCACAUCAACGUUGGUGAAAAAUCCUUUGACAGUAAAGUGUUAGCAUUAUAUAUAAAUUUAACUGCUCUUAUUCCUAAUUACACUAUAUUUAUAAUUAUAUUGAAUGAAACAGUUAAUGUGGUCUCUCCUGCAUAUUACCAUUGUUAAUUUCAAAUAGGUUCAAAAAAAUUAGAAUAAUUAUUUUUACAGUGAUUAUAAUUAAUAUAUUAAAAUCAUAUAUAUUGAAUAAAGUUAUUAAACAAACUAUGGAGACAACGUUGACUUGUCACAUGUGGUUGGGUGGAGAUCCAAAAAGAUGAAUCUACUCCUUCCACAAGUCAAAAAAAUAAAAAAGAUUAAAUUAUUUUUAGAAAAAAAAAAUUCUACUAUUAAAGUUGGAAAAAAAUAUAUAUAGAAAGUACCUGCGGACCAUUCUGAAACGACUACCUAAUCUUUUAAAAUUUUAAUUUUACUACUUAAUUUUUUUAGUUUAUUUAAUUUGAGUUAGUCAACGAUACUUUGACUUUAAAUUUUGAAUACGUUAUUUAUCUUAGUAGGUUUAGUUAGUUUACUUCAUGCAAUUGUCACAACUAUAAAUUUAUUAAAAUAAGUAAUUAGUUAGAAUUUUAAAAGUCAAAGUGUCAUUAAUUGGCUUAAAUCAAACAAAUUAAAAUAUUGAACGGUAAAAUUAAAAUUUUGAAAGAUUGGGUAGCUAUUUCAAAAUAGUCCACAGUUCAGAUAAAUUCUGUUUAUUUUUGCCAUUAAAGAUCAAAUUUCUAGUUUUGUCCUCUUAAAAGUGAUAAAUAAUAAUCAUCAUACAAUACUUUUGAUGCGACUUUAUUUAGAUAAAUGAUAAUGUUAUUAUUGAAUAAUUUUAUAUAAUAUGACAUAUUUUUGAUAAAUUUGAGCAUUACAACAACUAGCAAAUCCGCAGAUUCGAGAAUUUGAGUUCCUUUUACUUUUACAAUAAAUUUAUAAUAAUUUAGAGGUAAUUUAUUUAUUGUUUGAUAUUCUAAGAAACAAAAAAAAAAAAUCAAAUAUCCAUUUAUAACUACAUAAAUAGUUCUCCAAUAUUAUAAAACAAUAUAUAUAGUAUCCAAACCUUUGCUCCUGUGUCUCAAUUUUACUCUAUGAUAAAGAGGCAUAAAUUAUUAUUUUUUAAAAUAUUUGAGAGAAAAGAUAUCAACUUCUAUUUUUCAUUUUUUACCAUUAUUUUAAAUAACUUUAGAAAUUUAAGAUGAUUUUUAAUUCCAAUUCAAAACUCUAUAACAAUAGUUUCAAUACGAAUUAAAUAAAUUGUCAAUAAUUUAUCAAAUUUGAUAGUUCGCAUAAAGAGAAAGAUAUAUUUUAUUUUGUUCUAAAUUAACUUUAUAAUGUAUAAUUUAAAUAAAAAAUCAGAUAUAAAAUCAAAGUGACAUGUUAUACUAUUUUACUAAAGUUUUGCUUGGAAUUUAACAAUUAUUUGAUGAUCUUGUAUGGUAACAUAUAUGUUGUUUUAAGUUUUCAAAUAUAUUUCCUACAGAAUUUUUUUUAAAAUUUUAUUUAAAGUAAAAAAGACAACAAUACCAAUUAAAGCCUAAAUUUUUAUUUUUAUUUUUAUUUUCUUUUUUAAGAUGCCCCUAGACUAUACAUAAUCACUCAGUUCCAGAUUCUAUAGCCCGGGGAGCGAAAAAUACAAAUCAAUGUAAUAUAAACUUUUAUUAUUAUUUUAGUAAAAACGUAUAAAAUUUAUUUGAACUUUGAACCAGUUUAAAAUCACUAUCCACCUAGCUCAAUUCUAAAUUCUAAAAGUGUACAAUCCCCACCCCCAUUUAAACCUUGACAUUCUCAUCAGGCUUAAGCACACUUAGCUUUUGUUUGGUUAGGGGUUAAGGGAUGGAAUAGCCCCUUAACCCUUAUAUUAUCCCCAAACACCUCCAAAAAUGAAUAGGGUUAGCUAACCCCACCUCAAAUGGGCUAUCCCGAACCAAACGGUAGCUUAAGAAUCAAGUAAUGUGAGUCUCAUCUCACUUGCUAGCCUUAAUUGAUUUUAUGGGAAGCCACGCUCAACCAAUAAUGGUCGUCAACCGGCAAGCCGCGCUCCAUUGGCUGUAUGAUCCUAACUCAGCAGAUACUUAUUUUACACUUUUGACUGGUGAUUGUUUCUGAUACCAACUGUAAUGCCCCGCUUCCUAAACGGAUUACCUAUCUUAAAACUAUUCUAAUCCUAACGCACUUAGCUUUUUAACCUCUUGAAGUCAAGAAGUUUAGUCUUAUUACGUGAUAUACAUAACUAUUUGAAAUUCCGAUGGUGUCAGAUUACUCCUUAGAUAUAUAUUUGUAUUUGCCUCUCCUUCCCGCCGUAUUCAUGUCAAUGCACUUUUCAAUGAUACAUAAGCAAGUUAUGUUAACGCACCUUCCAAUGCAACAAUAAAUUGAUCAAUACAUAGGUAGCUAAAAUUUUGAAUUUUACAUAUCGUUCACUCACGCAAAUCAAACAAAUUAAAAAUUUGGACAACAAACUAAAAAUUUAGAAAGUUUAUGAAGCUGAUUCAAAAUAGUGUAUAGUUCACAUGAGUUGUGCAUUUUUUUUUUUUUUUUUACUUAGAAAAAACCUAUAUUAUUGCAUUGGUUUAUAGUAUAAUUAAGUUUUUCUCAUCGAAUUUUGUUGUAAUUAAGCCUCCGUUUGGUUCGGGGUUAAGGAAAAAGUAGCUAUUCCAGGGAUAGAGUUAAGUUCAGGGUUAAAAUGGGGUUAAAGUUUUUUUGUGUUUGGUUGGGGGUUGCAGUUAGUCUAGAAUAAUGAAAAAUAGUGUUUGGUUGGGUAGGUGGGAUAAGAAGAUAAUGAUUGAUAAAGAAGGAUAAUGAUUGGUUGGAGUAGGUGUGAUAAGAAAGAUAGUGGAUUAUUAUGAAUAGAAAAUAGUAUUUUGUUGGAGUUUGGUGGGGUUAGGUGGGGUUAGCUAACCCGGGAUAAUUUAUUUGAGGUGGGAUUAGGUGGGGUUAGCUAACCCCACCUAUUUUUUGGGGUGUUUGGGGAUAAAAUGGGGGUUAAGGGGUUAUUCCACCCCUUAACCCCCAACCAAACAAGGGCUAAAAGAAAAAGAAAAAGAAAAAGAAAAAGAAAAAGAAACACACAUACUACAUAUAAAUACUCCUUCCCCUCCUUAUCCCUCCUCUCCUCUACCAACCCCCUGUGUCUCUCUCUCCUCCGCUCCAAAACCCUCCGUAGCGAUCAAAACCCUAGGAGGAGGGGGAGGAGGCGGUCGAAGCCCUAGUUUUCCAUUUGCACUCUCGUGGGAGGCCUCUCAGCUCGAUCCCGUCUCCACAGAGAGGUGUUCGGUAAAUCCCAAUCAAUUCUAAACGCCGACGUUAUUUUAUCUUAUAAUUACUUGAAUUUGUAGCGUAUUGGUGGAAAUUUGGGUAAAUGGAUGCAGUUUUUGCCCUAAUUUCGUGAAUAAAAGAUGCAUUUAUGUUGUAGUGUUUGGUUUCGUUGAUCUGGGGGUCGAUUCCUCGUGCAUAUGUGUUAGUUUGGCCCGGUUUCGGGAGUGAGUUCUCUGCUUGAGAAGCAGAAGCUUGAGUGCAUGGAAAAUGAGAAAUUUAAAGGUUUUUGUUGUUGCGGGAAGCAGAAACGAGCUUCUGACCCUGUGAAUAUCUGCUUUAGUUUGAAGCUUCUGGUUCUAUUUGAUGUGGGAAGCUGUAAACAGAGUUGUAAUACUUGCUUUGUCUUGCCGCAGCUUUUGCUGUUUAAGUGAGCUGGUCGAAGAAGCACAGUGACAAUUAACAGCUUUUCUGUUAAACUGCACCGCGCAGUUUUGUGUUGCGGCAGAAAUAGAAGCUUCAAAUUAGUGUUUCUUUGAGGCCUAUAACAGCUUCCACCACACAAAAAGCUCCAGGCACUUCAUUUGCUAAAUGGCAGGCUGCUGCUUCUGGCGGCAGGGUAACUGUUUCAGACACUAGCCAAAAUGGCAGUACAUGAAAAAUACUAGGAGUGCUUCUCCCAGUAGCUCUACUCAAUUGACACUUUUGCAAAAGUUGUAGUGUGAUGAAUGGGCCACAAGUAGAAGUUUGUUUUGAAACUUUUAUUGCUGUAUUGUUACCUAUUCAUGUGACGUCCCAAUAUUCCCACAUCGUAUAAUGUGGGUGAUCGUGAGGGCCUUAUAUGUGGCUAGUUUGCUUGUACUAAUAACUAGGCUUAAGCAUUUUGGGUUAGCAGUUUGGACCCAACAAAGUAUUAGUGCACGUGGGCUGGGUCGUUUCAAUACAUGUGAUAGUUCAGCCUGUGUUGUUUAGCAUCUCUUCAUGAGAGGUUCAUUAUUGGCCUUUCACCUGUUUUUAGUACCUUUGUUUCUUUGGAAAGCCAUUACAUUUCCUUUGCUUCUUUUGCUUGUGGAUUAGUGGAUUGCUGCAGUUUUAUCAUCUCUCUUUGUCUGGUUGUUCUCUCUAAGCAGCUCGGUUAGUGGGUGUAUCAGUAUGUCGUCACCUUUAACUCGCGAUUGGGUGGGAAUCCAACAGUUCCCAGCUGCCACGCAAAACAAAUUGCUUGAGAUACUGGGGAAACUAAAGGAAGAGGUUCAUGUAGUGUUUUCCUCAAUUAUGCUCUUAACAUUUAAUUAGAGGUAUAAUGUAUUGGAUAGUCCUUGUACCAUCCCAAUGUCGACAUCGUACAGUGACCAGCAAUACAUUUUCCCCUUUAUCAAUUUUGUCAUAAUUUCUUUUUUGAUGUCGCAAGGCUUUUUUCUAAUAUUCCAGUUUUGAUUUCUCUUAGAAUGUGAGCACAAUGACUAUUCUGGUGAUGGGUAAGGGUGGUGUUGGGAAGUCCUCCACUGUGAAUUCCAUUCUAGGGGAGAGGGCGGUUACUGUGAGCACUUUCCAGGUUUCUUUUCUAUCUAUAUACAUCAUACUCAUUUUUUUGGUAAUUAAUGUUAUUAUUUGAGGGUUAGUAAAAGCUUAUUGUAUUGCUUUGUAAUACAAUCUUGUAGUCUGAAGGAUUGCGGCCAAUGAUGUGCUCAAGAUCACGAGCAGGGUUCACUUUAAACAUCAUUGACACGCCGGGACUUGUAGAAGGCGGAUAUGUCAAUGAUCAAGCUCUUGAGAUCAUAAAACGGUGUGUAUUAUGAAGAAACUUGUAGGUGAUCUGUAUGCGGAUGCUCAUUCUAUUUGUAAGAUAGAAUUUAGUCGGUUUGAUUGAAUUGUACAGAUUUGCCACUUGAAAUCAUGGAGUUUGCACCUAUUUACAUCUGGAUAGAAAAUGAUGCAUGCUCUUAUGGCGGUAGCUUCAAAUUUUGCUAAAAUUUUCUCUUUGAUGCAAAAUUUCAUUUCAAAAACCUUAAUAAUUUGGCACUUUAUUGUUGAAUUUGAUUGUGUUUGAUUGUUUAUUUCGGCGAGAGCAAGAAAACAAGAUUAGGGACGUGUGGACUGUUCAAUAGUUGGAUGAUUGUUUAAUUUUAGUAUUAUAACAGGGGAUAAAAAUAAGACAUGAUUAUCUUCAUGUAUCAUCCACAUGAUUGCAAUAUUCAGUCCAUUAGAAUAUUCAUCAUGUUCUUUUUAAAUUUCUUAUAUAUACACAUUAUCAGAUAUAAGAUUCUCAUUACUUGUUCUUAGUUACAAAUGAAUGGUAAUAUUGCUGUUAGUACAUAUCUAUUUUCCAUCCGACCUUCAUAAUUUAUUCAGAGCUAUUGAUAUGUUGGACAUUCUCCUUCAGUCUCCAAACUGAUUUUCCUACUUUAUUCGUGAGCAGUUUUUCUAAAGAAAGUAUAGCACAAGCUGUUAAAAUACAGGAAUGUAUAAUUAGUCGUAAAAACUCAAAUUGAAGACACCGAUAAUACCAGAGUAUCUGAUGCAUAUCCUACACAGAUAGGUGUAUACGCAAUUUCCAAAUUGAAUGGAACUGUUACUUUGUAUUUCAAUGGCUUCUUCUCUCUCCUAAUUGCUGCAGGGAAGGCCGUUGUUGUUUUUAUUGUUUAGUUAGCAACUCUUCUGCUAUUAUUUUAUUUGCUUGUUCCGCGGCUAUUUUUAUUUUUUAUUUUAUUUUUUUUAUUUCAGGUCAUAUUCAAUCCUUUUUACUUGGCUCAUUCUAUGUAUUUUUAGCUAAUGUGCUCUGAUUUUCUUUCAGGUUUCUGUUGAAUAAGACUAUUGAUGUUCUCCUGUACGUGGACCGGUUAGAUGUGUAUAGGAUGGAUGCUUUGGAUAGACUAGUUAUUAAAGCUAUAACUGACACUUUUGGAAAGGCAAUAUGGAGAAGAUCUUUGGUUGUGUUAACACAUGCUCAAUUGUCUCCACCAGAUGGAUUGAAUUAUGAUGACUUCUUUGCCAAGCGCUCAGAAGCGCUUCGCAAAUGCAUACGGUUAGGCGCCCGCAUCAAAAAACAAGAGUUUCAGGUAUUAAAAUUUCACAGCAUUUGUCUUUUUCUUUUUUCUGAAGAAAAUCGUUAUUUUUGCGAAGAUAGGAAGCUUUCUGAUGGAAGACAGCAAUGCGUCACCUCCCAUCUCACGUGGUCUCUUUUAUAAUGGUUGUGGAGAUAGUGGAAUGACUCGUGUAAAUUGGAUGGUAAAGCAUAUUGCACAACAAUCGUGUGGUAGUUUAUAUCAAAUUUUGGUGGAAAAUUUAAAUAUUCCAUGAGAUAUUAGACAUUUAGUAGUGUCACCCUUUAAUGUGGCUGAAAAAGUAAUGUGAUUGAAAAAGUGGGUAAAGUAGUUAUCUGCGAAUUCAGAGGUUGGGCCUGUCUGGCCCUGAUAUGCCUGGAUUGGAGAAGUGAGGCUGGUAUUUCUGUAAUUUUUUCAUUCUUCAAAGAAGGAAAACUUUGAACCUUAUUUGAUAAGGCACUUAGAUGGCAAAGGAUUCAUAAUGAAGAUCACCGAAUCUCUAUCUAAUAUCUCUAAAUGGUUUACAAAAGACGCUCUUCAUCUUUACAUCACGUGUAUACAUUGUUCCUUUCUAUAGGUUAAGCAAUAGGUUUGUUGGUGUUUUGAUAUACUUUCGUUAAUCUAAAUGUGAAUAAUCAAUAACAUCUACUAGUGCUUUUACUCGCUGAAGGUAAGGAAAAGAAUUGCUGGCUUUGAGUGCUUCAUAUGACUAUCGUCGUUGACUAAGCAUAAUGAACUAAGCAUAAUGAACUAAGUUAUUUAGUAUCGUUGAGGGAAUAAGACAGUAUGAAAUUAAUUUUUGAUUUUACAUUUCCACAUCAAUGAGAAUAAGAGUGGUAUAAAGAGAACCCUCUACCGUACAUGCCGAAAGGCUAAUUUGUCUUUUGUUCCAUAUUUCUCAAGAUAAAUUCAACUCGGUUUCUUAAGUGCUUAUCUAAUAUAAUGUACUUGUGUGUGUGCGCGCGCGCGCACGCGUAGCUUGUAAGCAUGUAUGGAUAUCUCUUAAACAGUAAAAUUCGCAGAUACACUAUAAUCGUAUGCUUGCUUUGAUAUACAUACGUUCUUCAGUACCGUGCAUGUACAUCACCAAAAUUUUUUCUAAACCAUGUAUACUCACAGGUGAUUUGGUAACAUAUGUAAUGUGGAAAUGAAUAUGCACAUUUUUUUUUUCCUUAUAGAGGGAUGUGUUAAAACAAGUUCUCUAUUAGUUUUUGGAAUAGCUUUCCUGUAUUCAAGUUUCUUGAUCAGCCACUGUUGGCAAUCACUUUGCUGGUUAUUCUGAUAUUUGGCAUCUGAACAGUUAUCGUCUUCUCUUUUCUAUAAAGAAACGAAGCCUUCAUUUUUGAGCCUGAAUGCGACAAAACAUCGUGGUAUCGAAUAAUGCCGCCAAAAAUGUGCUCUCUCGUCUUGCAGGAAUCAAACAUUCCCGUGGUGUUAGUCGAGAACAGUGGGAGAUGCAGGACUAACGAUAGUGCAGAAAAGGUAUGUCUUCUUGUUUUUUCAUCGCCCUUUUUACUUGCAUUGAAAUUUGGCUAAACGCAAAAAAUCACCGCUAGACCUUCAACCUUACCUCAUCCCCUCUCCCUGCUUCAAUUUCAAUACUCAUGUUGAUUACUGAAAAUUAUGAGUGAAAAAGAACCACACGAAAAGCGAGUAAAUUGUUCAAUAAACUGUUAGAUACCUACAGUAAAGAUCACCUUUUGUUGUUUACUCUCGUCGAUGAACACAGAUACUGCCCGAUGGUACGCCGUGGAUCCCAAACUUGGUGAGAGAAAUCACACUCAUCAUCUCUAACGGGAGCAUGCCGAUCGUCGUUGAUCAGAAGCUGAUCGAGGGCCCCAAUCCUAACAACCGCGGAAAGCUUUUCAUACCCCUCAUUCUGGCUUUUCAGGUAAAAAUGCCUCCUUCCUGCAAAAUCAGUUCAAACUUCACUAGAAUUACUCGCACUUCUAUAUGAAGUAAGCAACUACCUAUUCCUGCAUUUGUUUUUUUCCUCAGUACUUUUUCGUGAUAAGACGGAUUCAACGAGCCAUCAAAGAUGACAUUGCAAAGGAAAGCAAGCCGCUUUGGGAGCUGCGCGACUUGGGCUUAGCAGAUCGCAAAUUCUAGUCUCUCUCUCUCUCUCUCUCUCUCUCUCUCUAUAAAUUAUCUUUCUAUGUUGUUGGUUUGUGUGUAUUCAUUUCCUGUGCUGUUGUGUUACUAUGAGGGCUUUAUCCGAACAGUCGUACUGCGGCGGACUACUGACUUUCUUUUUGUAAUCCCAGUCUCAUGCUAUCAAUCUUUCAUCUUCUUCUGACAGAUUGUUUGGCUUCAACUGCUGCUCUUUUGCAUGUCAUUUAUCUUACUAUUUAUAGUGUAUGAUGAUAAUAUACUAACAUCAUCGGUCACAUGUUAUAUGGGCCUACUGCUUUUGCUUGAAGUUGAAGCCAGCCUUUGGGUGUCCAUAUUCUGCGAGUUUCUAUGUCGGGUCGUUGGCGCUAACUAUUAAUCCCAAAAGCUCGAGCUGUUAGAAAUACGCAACUAAUUCACUUAAAGCGUAUAGAUACAGUGCCCACGGGGCUCGAUUGUGACUUGACCCAACCAGUCUCAUGCCACUUCGAACACGACUCGGCCUAUCCAGCCUCACGCCAUUUCGAACAUAACUCGGCCCAAUAUGGCUUCCCGCCACAUAACAGAAUGCAGGUCUAUUUAAGCCAACAUUCUAAUGGCUCGAGUUUUUUUCAAAAAUAAAGUUAAGUGUCUCACAAACAUUCGUCAAAGUUUGCCGUAAACUAAAUUUGCCCUUUAACUUUAUUUCUUUCAAAAUGUUAUAAUUGAUUUCGCUCAGAAUGCAAUCGAUGUACCUUUCUUUUGCCCUUUUAUGCGCUAAUGCGAAAUUUGCGAUAAAAUAAACCAAAAAAAAGGACUAACUAUAGUUUGUGGGCUUUCAAUGUUUACAAAAAUAAAUUUUCACUUAAAUUUUAGUUAUACUGAAAGUAAAUUUUAAACUUAAAAAUAAAAUUUGUUUUUAUAUAAAUUAAAUUUUAAUGAAUUUUAAAUAUAACAAAUAAAGCGCAUCUGGUGUAGUGGUAUCAUAGUACCCUCCCACGGUACUGACCGGGGUUCGAUUCCCCGGAUGCGCACCAUUGGAUUUAUUUUUUUUUGUUUUCUUGGCAUUUAUUCUCCUAAAAAAUAUUCCUUUUUUUGGAAUAAUUGCCUAUAUACUCCUCAUGCGUCUGGAAAUAUCUGAUCUACCCCUAUAUUUUUUUUUUUCUAAAAUACCCCUCAUAUGUUCCACCGUUAUUGUAAAAUACCCCCGCAGUUAUCUCCUGUUAAAUUAACCUGAGUUAAACGUGAGUUAAAUAUCUAUUACAGUUAAAAAAAAUUAAAUUGCCAAUUUUGCCCUUAACUUAAGGGCAAAUAAGAAAGGUUGGUUACGGUAGAGGAGUAUAUUGGAAAAGACAAAAAGUUAAAAUAUUUAAGGGCAAUAAAAAAGACAAUGAUGGUGGAAGGGUAUAUUUGAAAAGGGCAAAAUAGUAAUUUUACAGAGAUAACAGUAUUACUUAACAAAUUUUAACUCUAAGUGUAUAUUAGAAAUAAGUUGGAACGUAGGAGGGGUAUUUUCAAUAUUAGCCUUCUAAGAGGGGUAAAUCAAAAAGUUGGAAAUUUUUCAGGAGUAUAUAAGAAAUUGCCCCUUUUUUUUUUAUUUUUUUGGGAUUUAUUCUCCUCAAAAUACAUUAUUUUUCUGAGCAUACGGCAAAAUUAUAAAUCACAAUACUACUCGUACAUCCAAAAAAAAAUAUGUAUAUCUUACACACAGUAGUUUUACAUGAUUUUUUUUAUCCGGCGUUAUGCUAGGUAGAAAAGGAUUAGUUGUGAUUUCUAAUAUAUAUAUGGCAAAAUUAUAACAAAUAAUACAAUACAUACAUCUCAAAAAUGGUGUAUAUCUUACUCGUGAUUUUUUUUUUUUGUCGAACGUCACACUGAAUAGAGAAGGGUUAGUUGUGAUUUUUGGCACACGUGGCAAAAUUAUAAAGCGCAAUGCUAUUAAUACAUUCUGAAAAUGGUGCAUUUCUUACACGGGUGGUUUGUCCAUUACUUUCAUGAUCUUUUUAUGUUGUUAUAAAGUGUGAUACUACUCAUACAUCCACAAAAAAAAAGCGUGUAUAUCCUACACUCGUGACUUUUCCACCACUAACAUGAUCUUUCUUGUUGAGCACCACAAGAGAUAAAUAAGAACUAGUUAUAGUUUUUAGCGUAUAUGACAAAAUUAUAAAGCGCAAUGCAGUACAUACAUCCUAAAAAAAGUGUAUAUCUUACAUGCGAGUUAUCCACAACUCACACGAUUUUUUUUUCUUCGUCGAACAUCACACUGGAUAGAGAAAUCCUAUUUGUGAUUUUUGGCAUAUAUGGCAAAAUUAUAAAGAGCCUAAUACAUUUCGAAAAUAGUAAAUAUUUUAGAGCUAGGUUGGUAUACUAUCGGUAGCACGAAGGCCUCCGUGUUACCAAGUUGUUUUCAAUAAUCCGGCUUCUAAAUCGACGAUCGACUCCGUUAGACUUGAUCUACACUAUUGAAAGUAUUUGGAAACUAAAUUUCAUAAUUUUUCGGCAUCAUUUACCUAUCAAACGAGUAGCCUAAAAAUGAACGGCUGAAAAUAAAAAUCUCAUAAAAAAUGAUGAUAAAAGAUUUAAAUUUAAGAUCAGAGGUACUGAUCUUAUUCUAAAUAGUGAAANAAACUAAAUUUCAUAAUUUUUUGGUAUCAUUUACCUAUCAAACGAGUAGUCUAAAAAUGAACGGCUGAAAAUAAAAAUCUCAUAAAAAAUGAUGAUAAAAGAUUUAAAUUUAAGAUCAGAGGUACUGAUCUUAUUCUAAAUAGUGAAAAGAAUUUUCUAUAAAAAUUUCAUCGGAUUUGAAUUUUCUUACACCGUUAAAUUCACAAACAUAUUACAUCGACCAUUAAAAUUGUCAAUUUUGAGACCUUUUAAUCACUAACCAAAUGAUACUGGAAUGGAGUGAAAAAUUAUUUUUCGGAAAAAAGGGUUUUUUCAUAGAAUGCCUCCUUUUCCAAUUUUGGAUUAUUUGGUUUGAGAAAAACUAGUAUUUUUGAAAAAGUUUCUUCUAUAUUUCAUGAAAAAUUUGUGAUUUUCUUUUUCAAUAUUUUAUCUGAAAAAUUAAAACACUAGUAUUUUGUGAAACCUUGAAAAAACUGUUUUAAAAAAAACUAGUUUUUCUCGUAGCCAAACAGUGAAAAUUUUGAAAAUGGUUUUUUUUUUCAAUAAAAACCUUUUUUUGCAAAUAAUUUUUCGUGCUUCUUCAAAAAAAACCAAACAUCGCAUAAACUAAUUUUAUCAAAUAAUUCAAUAAUUCUUUUUCCUCCGCAAAAAUUGUCAUACUUUAUUCGAACGUGCAUCAUGCACAUAAUAAUCUUAUAAAACUUUAAAAUAAAUUUUUUUAUUUCUUUCAAUUUGAGAUAAUAAAGUAUGAAUAUUGAUGACUUAGCAAACAUAGCCUCAAUUUCUUUUUUCUUUUUCUCUCUCUUUUUUUUUUUUUUUUUUUUUUUUUAGGAGAGAAUGAUAAUAGGCCAACGGUUUUGUUCAAAUUUAUUAAAGAUGAACUCAGCAAGAAAAGUGAAGCAUUUAUUCAUUCUGAUUAGAAAUGAACUCAACGAGAAACUUGAAGCAUUCACGCUUCCAACGGUCGGUUUAACUUUAAUUAUUAUUAUUAUUUAUAUAAAAAAUAUAAUAAUAUAUAUUAUAUAAUAUAUCUUUAUAUUGGUUAAAUUAUAGAAGAUUUUUUUUUUUAUAAAUACCUUCUUUUUUUUUGACUUUCAAAAAUCUAUAUUUUGCCCUCUUAAAAUUCUAAAAAUAUGCUCACCGUCCUUACUGCAAGUGGUAAAAGACUUAGUAGUUUUUUAAUAUAUUUUCAUCAUUUUGAAAGUUAUUUUUCUUAUAAAAUUAUAAAAAAUAAGCGGAAUAGUGAUGGAACUUGACUGAGGAGGGGGCCAAAUGCAAUAACUUGGAAUGGUGAGGGGAUAAAAUAUAGAUUUUUGAAAGUUAGCGAGGAAAAGUAAAUAAAGGGUUUUUUUUUUUGUAAUUUAACAUUAAAUUUUAAAGCUUUAUAAAACUGCAUGCUAACGUUAAAGGAGUAACUUCAAUUAAAUAAAACUUCCUUUUGAACAUUUUGAUAAAACUUUAGUAGGGAUGCAAAUGGAUCUGGGUUGGAGCUACCGCCCCGAUCAGCCCCAAAUAGGGUAGUAAGCGAGAAUAAAAAAUAUAAAAAUAUAUAAUCCGUCCCGAAUCCACGACGAUCCGUCAAGUAAAUGGAGCGGAAGGCCGAAGGCUGGAGACCAUUUUCUUCCUUCAAUCUAUUCUGAUCCGUCAAAAAUCUACCCUAAUAGGACGGUACGUCAGAGCCACAAAUAAAAUAAAAAAUAACUCGCUCCAAAUCCGCCCCGUCCCGACAAGAAAUAGAACGGCUCCCUCCCCCGGAUCCCCCAUUAGGGAUCAAAUUGCUAAACUUUGAAAGUUCAUGAAGCCUUUUGCAAACAACUUAAACUUUAGGGGGGCCUAAGGAUAUUUUCCCAAAAAAGUGAAAAAAAACAUAAACCCCCCUCCCUCAGUCCCUCCCUCUCCGGCGGUGGCCGUGAUCUCUCCGCGACUACACAAACCCACCAUCUCCGCGGCGAAGCCCUCUCUAGGGUUUCUCUCUCUCCUCCCCCAUUCCCCCCCCCCCUUCUCUCUCUCUAGGGUUUCUCCCUCGCCGCCCCCUUCUCGAUCGGAUCCCUCCGCCCCAUGCCCCUCAGAUCAGGCGGGAGGCAGAUCUCCUUCGAGAUCCUCGCCGGCGACACAUCCGGCGACGACGGCGGUGGCGGAGGAGGCGGCGGGGAACCGCCCCGCCGGAAGCGGAGGGCGAGGGGAUCGAAGAGGAAGAAGAGGCCGAGCUCGGUGGCGGAGGAGCCGAGCGUGGCGCCCCCGAUCGGAUCGGAGCAUCGGAAGCCGCUCGCGCCGGAGAAUGCGCUGUGCGAGGACGAGAUCGGGUUCAAGAUGCUGGAGAGCAGGUCGGUGGUGGAGACCGUGUGCGAGGGCGCGGUGGUGGAGAGCUCGAAGGUGAGCUCGGUGUCGUACGUGGAGUUGCGGCAGAGGAAUGUGAACGGCGGUGGUGUGGGUGACGAGGUUGGGGACGAGGCUGCGGCGAGUGCGAGGGAGAGCUCCGCAGGGUCAUGGAGGCCGGAGUCGAAUGGGAGUGUUACCAAUUUGGCAAAGGAGAAGUCGCUGGAUUGGAAUCAGGUGGUCGCCGAGGAUCCCAAUAUUCUUCGAGGUAUUUUCUUUGUAGCCGCAUUGUAUUCGAUGUGAAUUUACCUGAGAAUUGUACUCAAUCUGUCCAAUUAGUGGAAUGAAUACAUAGAUUGGUUGCUAAGGACAGUUGAAGUGUCAAAGAAGUUGUGAUCAUCUACAUAGGUUUUUGUUUUGUCCUUUUUUUGUUAGAAAAGUAGCUAUGAAGGCAUGCAGAGUUCUGGGUGAGCUUAUUAUUUAUAUUCAGUUUUGGGCUAUUUCAUACCUUGUGAUUCGAUUACAUUCGUCAUCAGGUAGUGGUUUAUGUGUAGUUGUUGUGGAUGUCCGAAACCGUGAUAUUAGAUUCAUCAGACAAUCUUAUCCCUUUUGUCAGCCACAGUUUUGGGAAAAAGUAUCGUCUUUCUGAUGUAGGUUAGCACCAGGGACAAGAUAAAUUUUCCGAGUUUGGCUUUAUGAAUUUUGAAGCAGUUUUAGUUUGGCUAAUCUACUCUAUUAUAGUCUAGGCAAUGGUCUUGAUGAACUCUGCAUUUGAGCAAUAAUUGGUCUGGGCAAGAAUUUAUCGGCGUCUAAGAUUGUUGGUGCAUGGCGUGAGUGGAACUAAAUUGGCUAGCACAUGCUGAUAUAUAGUCUUUAACUAGUUCCAUUUUUCGCCUCCAUAUAAAAUGUGCAAGCGCUGAUUGUCAUUUAGCGGUUCCUCCAAAUUUGUUUUCAGUAUUUUCCGUUGCCUGUUCCUUUCAUAGUAUUUCCUUCUAUAGUUUGAUCUUAAAUCUCUUUUUUGUGACGGUUCGCAAGAAAAGCAAGUAUUGAGAAUUUAAUCCUUGUUAGGGAUACUGUAUGUAAAGUGGGAUGCUUUAUUAUGUAAUUAGGUGCCUUACUAAAUAUGAUUUUCACUUGGAACACUCAUUUGUUGUAACUUGGUGGAAACUUCAUUCUUCCGUCGACAAAUAUAUACAUUGUCGACUUGUCGUAACUCGUAUAUAUCUACAUGCAUUUAUUGAUUGAUUGCAGAAGUCUCUUCUAGUGCAAAAUCACCAUUCGCGUACUUUGUCGGAGAGAUUUAUGGUGGCAAUGCAUUAAGGAGCACAAUUGCUGUGGGUAAUGAGAAGAAACGGCAAAGAGUCUACAAUACAAUGUUUCACGUGCCCUGGAGAUGUGAACGGGUACUUACUAAACUUGUUUUUGCCCUGAAUUUCAGCAGUUAGAUAGUCCUUGUAAAAAGUUAUAAUUUGUUCGAUUUGGCACUUUAAGCUAUUUAUGAUUUGGCUUAGACAUGAUAAAUUUGUAAUUGAUUUGGCUCAAGGGUAUAAAUUAUCUUGUAAUGAUUGAUAAUUUUAGACAACAUGAACAUUAUACUCAGUUGUAGAGUCAGGGACAAAGAGAUGCUAUCUUUGGUUAAUUUAUGAUGCAAUCAUAGUUCUGAAUAUUUUCAUGAUUUUAUUGUCCUUAACCACUAAUAUAUGAUGUUUUUAGUUCAUUGUUUUCUCAUUUCGAAGUGUCCAUGCUUUUCUUUUCGGUGUCUUCAUGCAUUAGGUUAUAUUUCUCAUCAAAUUUUCUUUAGAAAUCCAUCUCUCAUGCUUGAUUACAAUGCUGCAGCUUAUUAUUGCGGGCUUCUUUGUCUGCUUGGAUUCCUUUCUGUCUUUAUUAACUAUUAUGCCAGCCAGAAUUCUAAUGACGAUUUGGAGGGUGCUUAAGACGAGGUGGGUUGCAUCUUUCAAGUGAUUAUCUUUCUUUAUCUUUUUGAAAGCAAAUGUUACUGUUGUUGCAUCCACUCAUAUUCACAAUUUCAUUUGUAGCCUCCAAAAAGUUAUGUGUGGGUCAGUGGUUGUUUAAUUUAUUUAUUUUUGUAGUCUUCUGCAAUGACAAGCAUGGAUCAAUGAUUGUUUACUGUUUAGUCAUGUUCACCAUUGAUUCAUAGAUUUGUUUGGAAUUUUUGUUUUCUUUUUUUUUUUUUCAAGCAAUUAGUAUAUUUACUUCCUGAUGCCCUAUGAUAUAAUUUAGGUUUGUUGUAUCCAUAUUAUCAAGGAAUCUUACUGACUUAUCAGAUCUGGGAUUUUCGAGUCUUCUUCAAUCGUCCUUUGGAACUACAAUGCUUAUCUACUACAAAGAAAAUCCCUACAGCUAUCUCCUUGUGUACUAUUGAUGAAAAGGCAAGGCAAAAAGAAAUCGUUCCACCAAUUUCAGCCUAUAGAUUAUAGAGAAGAUUAAUACACGUACAUGUUUAUAGGCCGAUUGCUCCUUACCUAAUAAAAAUGUCUUCCCUGUUAAGAACUUGCAACAGGACUAAAUCUUACCAUUAAAUAGGGCAAUUAGCAUGGUUACUUCCUGAACUCCCAACAAGUUGCAACUGGUCCCAAAUCUUCAAUUUAAUAGAUUAGUCCUUGAAACUUAAGCAAUUACUCCAAUGCCUUCGCUAGAUUUAUUAGACAUCCUAAUUGUCUGCCUUCCAUUGUUCAUGUAGCUGGCUCCUAUUAGGUGCUAAACUUCUGUUGGACAUAAGUGCACCCACGAUGAAGUUGCAAGAAAUUAGGCUAGGUUAGUGGCAAAUUUCUUUAAGUAAAUGAUGAGGGAAAAUUGCAGUUUGUUGAAAGUUUGGUGCCUCCCUGUGCAUUUUAUUGUAUUGAUUUGUAGAAAGAUUGAAAUAUGGAUUAAAACCUUCCUGAAAUAAGGACAUCAAUAAUUCAUAGGUGGACUCACUUUACUUUGACUACUGUGCUGCUCAUUGCUCCGGUGAUACAUGUAUAAUCAUUGUGAACUAGUUGCACGAAUCUUUUUUUUUUUUUUUGUUCUUCUCGCAUUGGAUGUGCUAUUUUCCAUUUUGUACAUUAGUUUGUGAAAUGUUCUUCUGAUCUGCAUGUUUGUGACAGGCAGUUUCAGAGGCCAAACGCUGCCGAAUUGUCAGAUUUUGGAUGUUUAAUAGUGUUGGCUCUUGGAGUAGUUUCUCUUCAAAGGAUAGGUAGGAAUCUAUUUACAUUUCUAGCGUUGUCUUAAAUGUUAGAAAUGAUCCGUUCUAACUUGUGCAUCCUUCAUCAGAUAUUAGCUUGAUAUAUCACGUUAUACGUGGUCAAGGAACAAUCAAACUCUAUGUAAUAUACAAUGUGUUAGAGGUGAGAAAACACUGCCUAGGAAAUUGCCAAAUCAUAUCUAUAUAAUAGAGUUGUUUAAUACAUACUUUGAUAUCUGUGGCAGAUAUUUGACAAACUCUGUCAAUCUUUUGGUGAGGAUGUUUUGCAAGUUUUGUUCAACUCAGCAGAGGGGCUUUCCAAUUGUUCGCCAGAUACUUUCACAUUUGAACUGAUGAGAUUCAUCUUGGAUGAAACAAUAGCAGUCGUUGCAUUUGAUAUCCUUUGCGGCAAAUCAUCUUUCUUUUCUUGAUUUUGAUUGUCUUUUGGACAUAUAUUUACGAUCUGGAUUUCCUUGACCAGUUGCACUUGUUCAUGCUUUCGUUUUGUUAGUUCAGGCUAUUACCUUAGCGACAUGCAUUAUUGCACAUAACAAUGCUCUAUUGGCUCUGCUGGUGUCGAACAAUUUUGCUGAGAUUAAAAGCAAUGUGUUUAAACGUGUUAGCAAGGAAAACCUUCACAAUUUGGUAUACUAUGGUGAGUUCAUAUUUCUUUCAACUUUCAUAACGUCCCCUGUGCCAAACUGCAGCUUGUCAUAUUACCCUUUGCCUGUUGUUGUACGUUCAAAAGUUUGUAUUGAAUCAACGUGGUAUAACUGGAAGUAUACUAUAUUGAUUCUGUAAAUGGCAUGAAUAAAAUACAAUUACACUGACUUCUAUGGUGCAAUAAUCCAACUAGCUAGUAGUGUAAGAUUCCCUUUCGGAAUCUUCUCGCCUCGUUCUUGAAGUGCAAAAGGAUUAUCUCCAUUAAAUAAUGACCUCUCCUGAUAAACUAGUUGUUCUACUUGGUAUAAAAGAGUGAUGUUGAAGUUUACUCGGAGUCAUGGCAUUUUACAUGUUAUUGAUUCCAUAUAAUGUAGGGUGUUCUGUGGUGCCGUCAACUACAUAGGCCUUUGGUACUGCCGUGGCUAAAAGUAUUAUUUUUAUACUAUAGAAUACCUAAAAAUUUCAAAAGCACUUUCAAUCUUCUCUUAUUUUAUGCUAUAAAAUUGUGGUUGCAACUGCCGCAGGAGAAGCAUGCGGCUAAAUGCUUAGCCACAUGCUUCUCAAGCGGCAGUUGCAACUGCAAUUUUAAAGCAUUGGAGGAGGAAAAAUUUUAAGUGCUUUUGAAUGUUUUGGGCCUUUCAUAAAUAAAAAUGAUGCUUUUAGCCUCCACAUUACCAAACUAGGCCUUAUUUGGCUUGCUGUGCAUCACGUCUACUUAUUUGGCUAGUAGGGUGUUCUGUGGUGUUGUUAACUACUUAGUUGGCUUACUUGUGCCUCACAUCUAUCUCAGUUCUCUGUUUGUUGCACUUCAGAUUCUAGGCUCUAUGUUGGUUGCACUAUGUUUUUUGCGUGUGACUCUGCAUGCACUAUCAAAGGCUUAUGAAAGUAGUUGGAUUUCAAUAAUUUUUGUUUUGAGAUAACGUGGCUGAAAACCUUCUCAUGCUUUUUACCUGAGCUCCAUAAAAACCUUGUGCGGACCUUGUUAGUUUAGUUCUUUAUGUAUGUAGUCAAACUAUGAUUGAUAAUUUAAUGUAGUUUUCAGACUAUGAUUUUUCUUGAAAGGAUUUCUUCAAGGUCUGGUUUAUAACAGAUAUCUGUUGGUGUGUUGUCAAAGCUAAGUGUGGAGGAAUUUAUGAAAUUUCCUGGUAGAUGUUCAUAAAAAUUUAUUGUGUUUGCUUGUUAACCUUCGUAAUCUCAUUAACUAAAAUCCAUGGUCUGUUGUUUAUUGGUUGUAAAUGAUUGAUAUUUUCAUUCACAUUACUGUUUUCUAUGAUUAUAUUGUUUUUCUUGUUUGUCUCAACAUAUUUUUAAAAAAUCUUUUAUUGUUCAAGUCAUUAGUCCAACAAUUCAAGUUCAUCUACGUGUAAUCUACCUUUGAUCAUGCUGCUGUUGUCCUUUUGUUGAUUCUAAUGUUGCCCUGAAGAUCAACAUUCUUCUUCAGUUUGUAGUUCUACAAAUUUUUCUGUUUUCUGUUCCUUUACCCUUUUUUUGGUAUACUGUAUUGUUGAUUUAAGAAAUCAUGGAUACGUCACUAUAUGGAUGUUCAGCAGUUAUUUAUUGAUCCCUGGAACUACUACUUGUAACCUUUUGAAUUACCAUCAGUCAUUCACAUUUCACGAUUUCUUAGUGGUUAUGCCUGAAUUUUUAGGAUUUUGAUUACUAUUAUCAUGAAACUUACUGGAUUUUUAUUCACUGACCAGAUAUUGUGGAGAGAUUUCACAUUACAGCUUUUUUACUGUUUGUUCUUGCUCAAAAUAUCUUGGAGGCUGAGGGCACAUGGUUUGAGAGUUUUCUUAUUGUAAGUUCUACCUCUUACUUUCUAGAAGAGUAACGUUAUGGGUGCCCCAGAAGUUCCCUUCUGAGUGUACUUGAUAAAUCAGUUUUCUGUUUUGGGCUCUAUAUAUCAAAUCUGAAGUACUAAACUACUUAUUUAAGUGCACAUGUGCAAAGCCGGAUCGCUGAAAUUUGGGGUAUGCUCAUGAGGUACCCAUUGCGUUACCCUAGUCUAGAAUUCUAUUGAUUAAAUUAGUGGAUCAAUCUCCUUCCAGUCUUAAUAGAAUGCUUAAUAACUGUUCAUAUUUGACCCUCUAGAAUGCUCUACUGGUUUACUUGUGUGAAGUACUUAUCGAUGCAAUCAAGCAUUCCUUCCUUGCCAAAUUCAAUGAGAUAAAACCUAUCGCAUAUUCAGAAUUUUUGGAAGAUCUCUGCAAGCAGGUAAAGUGAGUUGUCUAUUAUUUUAGCUGCAUUUGAUUCCAUUGCAGUGUUUCACUCAUAGAUAAUCACUUGGGAUGCGCGUUAUGGUUCUAUUAAUAUUAUGAGCUUUUAAGAAUGAUAUGCUAUGGAAAUUCUAGAGUUAUACUUCUGUAAAACUGAGUCUUCUAGGUUUUAUUUGGAUCAUCUCAAGUCUUUUAUGCUUAUUUUUAGAUGGAGAGAAUAGGAGAGAAAAAAAAGAGAAAAUAAAGGAGAGAAGAAGAGAACACUCCGUUUGGAUGGAGAGAAAAGGGAAGAAAAGAAAAGAAAGUUAGGAGAGAAAAAUAUUUUCCCUCGUUUGGAUUAAAACUUGAGGACAAAAAAAGAACAGAAACAGAAAAAAAAGUUCUUCAUAAUGUCAAUUUGUUUUCUCUUCAAACUGGAGAGAGAGAGAGAGAUUGCUUUUCCUUCUUUUUUUUGUCCAAACAACACGAGAAAGUUACAUUCAUUUCAUUAUCUUUACCAAGGUAAUUUAUAGGAUAGUAGUAACUUAUCUUCCUGUUUCAGUGCCUUCUAUUUUUGGAUAGUCAUAAAUCUCAACCUGAAGUUUGAUAUUUUUCCCGUUCAUUUCCAUUUUUUGUGUUCUAACAGAAUAAAUACCUGCCUUGCAUCAGAUGAGGCGUUGUAUGAACCUCUCUCUCUCUCUCUCUCUCUCUCUCUCUCUCUCUGUGCAUGUAUCUCCUUGUCACAUGUUCAUUGGUAUUAGAUAAUAGAAAGGGAUAAUUAGAGGGGUGCGAUUGAAAUUGCCCCUAAUAGAAAUAGAGGUUCCACAGUAUCAGUGUGAAAGCUACUUAGACACUGAACUGAGCAGCUCAUUGAUUCUUUUGGUUAUUACUUGCCAUUUAACCCACUUAACAAAACUUUUUUCUAUUAACACUUUUUUUUUCUCAUAAUUGUCCCUCCAGUACCUAAACGAAAAGCCCGAGGAGCGCCGGCAAGACCUGACCUUCAUUCCUCUCGCACCCGCAUGUGUCGUAAGUUCUCCCACCAGUUAAUACCCUGACAACUAUUUACCAUUCUCGACCACUAAUUAAAUAAUUUUUGCUCUUUUUAUUUUUUUAUUUUUUUUUUUUUUGUCACCAGGUUUUUCGAGUGCUAACUCCGGUGUACGCGACCCUUCUUCCCUUCGGUCCGUUCCUUUGGAGAAUAUUCUGGGUUCUUUUAUGGUCGAGCUUGACCUACAUCAUGCUUGCCAUUUGCAAGAUUUUAGUCGGGCUGAGCCUCCGCCGGCUUGCCACUUGGUACGUAAAUCUCCGGCUCGAGAGAAAACAGCACGUGGACUGAAGAAAGGUUGCCUUAUAAGGUUGGUUUCUCUCUCUAAAAAUUAGCGCGAAGUUUCAUUUAUUACAUUGAUUACGAUCGCUCACCAAAAGUAAAAAUAGAGAAGCAUACUGAUUCCGUUCACACAUGUACAUGGGGAACUUUACAUUUCAAAGCAUUCUUGUAUAUUGUUGCGAUUCUCAUACAUAGCAAAAAAAAAAAAAUUAAUUUUCGUUAUCAAGUUUCAUUUGCAUGAAAUAAAAUGAUAAUCCUUAUAUAAAUCUGCAAUAGAAGGAAAAUUAUGAUUUUUUCUUUUCUUUUUCCGUAUUUGGAGCACCGAAAAGGUGCUCUGAAUCAACGAAUGGUCCAGAUGAUUAUGAGCACUUGUUCGAUGCCCCGAAUUCCCGAGUGUUUAGCAUAAUUUAAGAAGAUUUUAUGCCUUGUGAACCAAAUUUUCUCUAUAUGUAAUGGUUUGUUUUGCAAAGCUUGUUUGUUUUUCUUCUUCUUCUUCUUCUUCUUCUUCUACUUCUUUUUUGGUUGUGUGUCUGUCGCAUAAUCUGAUUUGCUUUGCCUUACUUCUUGAUUAGUGUUGCAUUAACUUGUUUGCGGAAAUUUGUGUCAAAAUGAUAUAUAAUUUCUUACUUUGAACACCAUUUUGUUGUUAGCUUUUUUUAAAGGGUAAACUUCAAUUUGGAUCCCUGAGGUGUACCCUUUUUUUUUUUUACUUUGUCAUCCUGUUAUUCAAAAAGUUUUACUUAAUUACUUUGUGACUUUAUUUUCGCUUCACUGAAAACAAAUAGUCAAAUAGGAUAGUAAAGCAAAAUUUUUCAAAAACCUUAGGUUGAUAUCUUGGUUAACAGUAGAUCCUUACAAUGAAAUUAGAAUAAAAUUACAAAAUAGUUAAGUAUAACUUUUUAAAUCAUGUGAUGAUAAAAUAAAAGCACAUUAAACCACAGGGUAGCCAAAUGCAACUUUUUUUUGAAUCACAGAAUGGUAAAGUGGAAAUACAACUUUUUGAAGUUUAUCCCUUCUUUUAAUAGAUAUAUAGCAAAAAAUAGAGAGAGUUUUAUUUUUUCCGUAUGAUCUGUAUGGUUAAUCCAUAACCGAGUUCUUUAACUCUCAAAAGAAAGAAACUUGAAUAUUUUGAUACGCCCAUAGAUCUAGUUUGGUAAUGCCGUAGCCAAAAAUUACCUACAUUGUAUUUUGGAUGGUCGAAUGCUUUUAUAGCACUUUUUUUUCUUUUUUCUUUUUUUUUUCUGUGCUAUAAAAUUGCCGUGGCAAUUGUUAUUACAGAAGCAUGUAAGUGGGUGGUUGUUAUUGUCGUAUUUUUAUGACAUAAAAAAAGACAGAUGAGAAGUACUUAAAAAUUUUUGGACUUUUCGGAGUAUAAAAUAUGAUGAUUUUGAUCAUCACAUUACCAAACUAGGUCCUAGAGAAAGGACUUGGGAACAUACGCAAACGUGUUUCUUAGUUUGCUUUUGAGAAUUGAGGCUGUUGGCUUAAAGGGCCAGCAUUUUGUCCUGUAGCGGAAAGUCAGGUUGAAUUUUGUUAUGUUCGAAAUGAUACGGGCUAAAUUGGGUCAAGUCAUAUUCGAAGUCGCAUAAGGCUGGUUAUCGAGAUUCGUGAGCAUUGUGUCAGUAUGCUUGAAGUGAAUUAGUUGUGUAUUUCUAAAGCUCGAAUUUUGGAAAUUAAUGAUUAAUGCUAACGAUCCGACAAAGGCCAUCUUCUAACCAGCGAAAUGAGAUUCAUCUACAAAUGUGAAUUGAGAUUCAUAUACGAAUGUGACCCUAAGACUCAUGAAGAGACUACGUCUAUUUCCACCAAGAGUACAAUGUUCCUUUUAAUAAAUCGAAAAUGGAUUAUCUAAGGAUCCAUUUGGUAUUGUGGCCAAUAUAAUUGUAGUAGGCAAACAUAGUAGGGGCCAUAGUAAACAAAUAUAUAUAUAGAGAGUUGAGCUAUGAUACUUUUACAAGUAUCAUCAUCAUGAUGCUAUUAGGUUUUAAGCCAUUGGAUCUAUUUUUUGAUUAUUAAUAGCCCUUGGAUUAAACACUAUUCCACCUGCCACCACCUACCACCAUCUACCACGAUCAUCUCAACCUCACAUCUCUCCAUCCAAGGGCUAAAAACACACAAGUAUCACCCCCAUGAUACUUUUACAAGUAUUCUAGCCCUACUCUAUAUAUAUAUAUAUAUAUAUAUAUAUAUAUAUGGCCGGGGCUACUAUAUUCUUAUGAAUAUAGAACCCUUUGUACUCAUAAAUUUUUAACCGUUGAUUGAUGGGAUGUGUGCUUAGGAUGAUGGUGGUCCUUACUUAAAAUGAUAGUGGUCUCCUAGGGUUGAGUGGGUAGUUGGUUGAAUAGUAUGAUCUAACGGGUGGAAAUGAUUAUGGAAUAAAUCUAAGGGUCGAAAAUUUAUGAGUAUAUAAGGGAGCCAAUACUCAUAAAAGUAUAGUAGCCGGACUCAUAUAUAUAUAUAUAUAUUCGAGCUUUUCGAGCUUUUCGAGCCUAAUUCGAACGAGCCGAGUAAUACUCAAGUUCGNAUAAUGAUAAAAUUUAAAAUAUUAUUUUUCAACUGAAUGUAACCAAAUAAAUUAUUUAUAAUUACAACGAUUUUUACUACAUCGAACUAAAUAGGAUCCAUAAAGUUGCAACUGCUGUAUUUUUAAUUGCAUGUAUUUUUAACUACACUGUAUUUAUAAUUACAUCAAACCAAACAUGAGUGCUAGUGCACCUCAUAAAAUUUACUAUUCAAGAAAUUAAUAAGAUUAUGCCAUGUGCUCUAUUUGACCCUAGUGAAUUAUUAACAAAGUUUUUGUUUUAAUUUAAUUUAAUUUUUUCUUUUUAUUUAUUUAUUUAUUUUUAUGGUUUCUUUUUACACAUGUGUAACAUCUAAAUAGUUUUGCACAGAGAUAAUAAUUAUGAGGCUGCUUCCGAAGGAAAAUGAUUUACUUCAAAUUCUCAACAUUGACUAUGGUCUAAUGCCUUGUUUACCCUUGCUGUGAUGCAAAAGUGCAACACUGGGCAAUUUUUUUUUUUUUUUUUUUGAGAAAAGGUUUUUCAUUAAAAGUUCUUUUUUCAUUUUUUUUUUGUCUAUUUGGUUUUAAGAAAAAUUAGCAUUUUUUAUUUUUUCAAAGUUUAUUGAAAAUUGGCAUUUUUAUUUUUCUAAAAAAAUAGAGAAAAAAUUACUAGGUUUUCUUGAAAUCUGGAAAACUAACUUUUCAAAAAUGCUUUUUUUUUUUUUUAACCAAACAGAUAGAAAAUUAAAAUUUUUUGGAAAAACUUCAAAUACCAGCCCGGUAGUUUCACACUUUCUCACUUUAGUAUCAUGUGAUUUAAAGUGUAUCGCUUUCGUAUCCUAUGGUUUUUUUUUUUUUUUUGUUAUUCCUUUUCACUAAUUUUUUUCGUUAAAUUAGUGACAAAGUUAAAACUAAAGGAUACUAAAGUGAAUAUUCGAUAAACUAUAGAUGGGAUAUUUGAAGUUUCUUUUAUAUAUGAUUAAAUAAAAAGUUAAUUGAGGUGCUGACGAAAAGAAAAAAAUAAAACCAUAAAAUAGGGGUGGUAUUUGAAAUUUACCCAAAUUUGUUUCCGAAAGUAUUUUUCAUUAAAUUUGUUUUCUUUUUCUUUUUUUUUUUGAGAAACGAAACAAUCUCUUAAGAUAAGUUCAGAGUGUUUCGGUGCAUUGAUUGAUUGAUAGAGUAUUUUUUUUUCUCACAUUAUAGCCAAAAAAAUUAAAAAAAAAUUCUGUUUCCUAAGGGUUCGUUUGGAAUUGCGGAAAGAUUGCGUUAUGAACGCAAUCGCGAUGAGUAGGUUAUGAUAUAUUUUCUGCGGUCCCACCGGAGAACGCAUAAGCAUAUUCCUAUAUAUUUUUUUUUCAACUCUAUUUUAUCUAAUAGCGUUAGAUAGAUCUCAAUACCAAAUUAAGCCUAAGUAGGAUAAUAAUAAUUAUUAAAAUUCCUGUGAAGUGAUACUUUUGACUUAUUAUUGUGAGUUUAAAGCAUGCUAGUUAUUAAUAAAAGAAAAAAAAACAAAAAAAAUAUAACCGAAAAAAACCGUCGAAUGAGUUAAAUAUGGUACCAAAUAAUACUAUUUAGUUACCUCUUAUAACAUCUCAAAAGAGAAUAUUAAAAUAGUACAAUAACUCCUCAAUAAUUGUUCAUUUUCAUUUCAAUUAUUAUUAUUAGUAGGGUCAAGUGAACCCCACCAUGUAGCAACAAAACAAAUAAUUUCUCUUUCCUUCUUUUUGGGAAACUCACUUGUUUGUCUCUCAUUUCAAAAAUGGAACUUCAUAAAAAGUUUACUUGAAAAAAAAAAAAAAAUCAAAAUAGGGCUCACAAAAAUAUAGUUUUUUUAAAAAAUUUAAGUACCGUGACAUGGGAUUGUAUCUGAAACUUGCUGGCACGGUACGACACGAUGCGUGUCGGACCGUGACAAUGCGUGUCGGUCAUAAAAAAUAUAUGUAUGCUGACAUGUCAUACUAUGAAAUAUUUAUUUUCUUUAGUAAUAAAAUAUGUCAAUCAUUUAUUAUAUAUUUUUAUCAAAAUUUUUAAACUUUAUUGAGAAAAUUACUCACUGAUUUAAAGAAUAGAGGAUUUUGAACUGUGCCAUCGGUACGAAGGCUGUAUCGUACGAUGGAUACGGCUCCUACCGAUUAGCACUUAAAUCCUUGGUUUUUUCAUUUCCGCUCUCCAUUGAGAACUUACAUGUGUUCUAAAAAUUGAUGUCUAAUCAAAUCAAUAUACACAAUGAUUAAUUUAUUGAAUGGACAUAUAAAUUAGGAGUUUUUACUUAUUUAUCUCGGAUUACUAUUUAAAAUUUUCAAAUUUAUACUGAAAUUAUCAAAAUAUUCUUCUAAAUCCAAGUUUUAUUAGUAAAUCUUAGGAGUUUUGAAAACAUUUGAAGGGAUCUUUAGAAAUGUAUACGAACAUUUUGAUCAACCAGAAGUAUACUAGAUAUUUUCAAAGUUUUAAAAAAUAUAUUAGAUAUUAUUCCUAUAAAAAUACUUGUACGGACCAGUGAACAUACACAAUGAUUAACAUAUAGGAGAGGUUUCUAUUUAUUUAUCUUUUACUACUAUUCAAAAUUAAAAUUAAAGGAUACUAAAUUGAAUAUUCGAUAAAUUAUAGGUGGGAUAUUUGAAAAUUUUGGUAUAUGAUUUAAUAAAAAGUUAACAGAAGGGAUGACGAAAAGUGAAAAAUAAAAUUACAUGAUACUAAAUUGAUACACUUUACUAAAAUAAAAAAGUUCGAUUUGAAAAUUUUGGUAUACAAUUUAAUGAAAAGUUAACAGAAGAAAUGGCGAAAACGAAAAAUUAAAUUACAUGAUACUAAAUUGAUACACUUUAUUAAAAUAAAAAAGUUUGAAAUUACGGGGUGGGAUUUAAAGUUUAGUUUAAUUUUUAAUUUUUUUACGUAAAGAAUGUGGGGACUUGGAGUAUAAUUCACGGACCAAUGAGGUGGAGCCACGUGUCACUAGCACUCACCGCUCCCAACUGACCAACAGGCGGAGUCCGUACAGCUCGCUUCGGCGCCCCGAAACUCGCGCUCAAAUUGGCGGGAACCCGCGUCCCCGCGCCACGUCACGUGAGGGCCCCACCACCCGGGCCCCUACGCGGGGCCCACCCGAAAAUUAAAAUUAUAUUAAAAAAAAUAACAACCCCGUUACGGUUUCCUCGGAACACCGUCGCGUGGUUUCCGUGGAAGCCUCGUUCGACGGCUCCGAUUUUCGCACAGCGGAAACUAACGGCCGUGAUCGUUCCACGCCUUCCCGCGGUGCAUCACGAAUAAUUGUUGCGUGCACCAGGUGUACACGAAUUAAAAAAAUAGUAUUUUCUAAUUAUGGGAAAAAAAGUAAAAUAGGUAUUUUACAAAAUAGUUGAUGAAAUAUAAAAUACAGCAUUGUUUUUAUUUUUUUAAUUUAUAUUUUAUUAAAUUAAAUUAUAAUUUUAAAGCACUUUAGAUUAGAGCUCAGCGAUUACGUGUACGGAUACGCCUGGCGCACGUAAACUUUUCAGAAAUAUCAGCCGAGAUCUACGGUCGAGAUUUUCCCGCUCCGUCCCUUUCCCUCCGUCCUUUCCAUUUCUGAUCAUAAAAAACCGAGAAAGGAAUUCGGCAAAAAUGCGCCGAGCCCCCUUAACUAAAUUCUAUUUUUAUUUCACCCCCUCUCCUUAACUUUAUUUCUUUCAAUUUAUGACCCAUUUAACUUUUCAAAAAUUCCAAAUCUGAAUAAUAAUUUUAGUUAUUCUCCAGUAAAUAAGAUACAUAAUAAUAAGCGACUAUUAUUAUUGGAGACAGUACGAAUAAAAAGAAUGAUAAACUUUAAAUACUGUUUCUUUAGUUUCACACUUUCUCACUUUAGUACCCUGUAGUUUUAAUUUUCUCUUUUCAUCAGCUCCUCCGUUAAUAUAUCGUUAAAUUAUAUACAAAAAACUCCAGAUAUCCCACUUAAGUUUAUCGAAUAUUUAUUUUAAUAUCUUUCGGUUUUAACUUUGUCAUUGAUUUAACAAAAAUAAUUAGUGGGAGAAUAAUAAAAAAAAUAAAAUAAAAUUACGAGAUACUAAAUUGAUACAUUUUAAACCACGGAGUACUAAAAUGAAAAAAAAAAGUGCGAAAUAUUUAAAACUUUCCUUAAAAAGGAAAGAAAAGAAAGUCCAGGGGCCUUUUUCGGAAAUUUCAAAAAUUGAGGGUUCUUCGCACAAUUUUUUUCCGACUCGAACCCCUUCAUAAAAGAAAGAAUCCGAGCAUUUCCCCUUAUUAUUAUUAUUAUUAUUAUUAAUUAUUUCUUUUUUUCCCCUCUUUCUCUCUCCUCAAGCAUCGUCGCCGCCACUUCAUUAAACCCCUCAACCCAUUUUCAAAGCGACGCCGAAAAAAAAAACAUGGUAUAUAUUUUUUCUUUUAUUUUCUUUUUCCCCCUCUCUCUCUCUCUCUCCCUAAUUUUCCCCCCAAUUUAUUUUCUUUAAACAUGAUCUGAAGCUAGGGUUUCUUUCCCCAAACCCAUCUCAAAUCAUUUAUUGGAUUGGAUUGAAAUUGAAAUUGAAUUUGAAUUUUUUUUUUUUUUUUUUGAAGGUUGGGUACGUAAUUCACUACAAGAAUAAUAAUAAUAAUAAUAACAAUAAUAACAAUAAUAGUAGUAGUAGCAGCAGCGAGGGCAUCGGCGUCGGCGUCGGCGACAUCAUCAUGGUAAAAGGCAAAGGCAAAGGCAAAGGCAAAGGCAAAAAAGAGGGCGGGAAGAAGAAGAAGAUGAUGAGGAGGAGGCGGGGGGGGGAGUGCGGGGCGCACGGGGGGAUGCGGAAGGGGGAGGAGAACUUGUUCUGCGUCGACUGCAGGCGCAGGAUGUGCUCCCACUGCCAGGGCCACGCCGGCCACACCCUGCUGCAGAUUCGCAAGUACGUCUACCGGGACGUCGUCCGNUAUUCACAAAUCAAUAAAAAAAAACCAAAGUAAAAAAAAAAAAGAAAAAGUAGAGAGAUAGAGAGAGAGCAAGAUAUAAAUUAUUUUUUUUUAUUGAUUUGUGAAUAAAUUGUAUCAAAAUUCACCAAAUUUUGGAUUGAGUGGAAACUCUGAAUUUAUCAAAUUACGAGAUACUAAAUUGAUACAUUUUAAACCACAGAGUACUAAAAUAAAUAAAAAAAAAUAAUUUAUAUCUUGCUCUCUCUCUAUCUCUCUACUUUUUCUUUUUUUUUUUUACUUUGGUUUUUUUUUAUUGAUUUGUGAAUAAAUUGUAUCAAAAUUCACCAAAUUUCGGGUUGAGUGGAAACUCUUUGGGGGAUGUGUUUGUUUUGUUUCAUCGAAAGUGGAAGUAUAUGGAGUAGUUUUUUUUAUCAUAAAUAAAUUAUAUUGUAUUUAUCAAAUCACGACAUACUAAAUUGAUACAUUUUAAACCACAUAGUACUAAAAUAAAAAAAAAAACAAUCUAUCUCUCUCUCUCUCUAUCUCUCUACUUUUUUUUUUUCUUUGGUUUUUUUUUUUAUUGAUUUGUGAAUAAAUUGUAUCAAAAUUCACCAAAUUUUGGAUUGAGUGGAAACUCUGAAUUUAUCAAAUUACGAGAUACUAAAUUGAUACAUUUUAAACCACAGAGUACUAAAAUAAAUAAAAAAAAAUAAUUUAUAUCUUGCUCUCUCUCUAUCUCUCUACUUUUUCUUUUUUUUUUUUUACUUUGGUUUUUUUUUAUUGAUUUGUGAAUAAAUUGUANUAAAUUCAAUAUAAUUUAUUUAUGAUAAAAAAAAACAAUCUAUCUCUCUCUCUCUCUAUCUCUCUACUUUUUUUUUUUCUUUGGUUUUUUUUUUUAUUGAUUUGUGAAUAAAUUGUAUCAAAAUUCACCAAAUUUUGGAUUGUUUGGAAACUCUUUGGGGGAUGUGGAAAGUGGAGAGAUAUGGAGUAGUUUUUUUUUAUCAUAAAUAAAUUAUAUUGAAUUUAUCAAAUUUUGAAUUGUUUGGGAACUUAACUUUUCUUCGGGAUGUAUUUGUUCCGUUUUACUGGAAGUGGAGAGACGUGAAGUAAUUUUCGGUCAUAAAUAAAUUAUAUCAAAUUUUGAAGUGCUUAGAAACUUGUCGGUUUGUUUUUCUGAAAGUUGAGAGGAAUGAAUUAGUUUUCAGUCGAAUAAAUAAUAUCGAAUUUACCAAAUUUUGGGAAAUGCGUUUACUUUGUUUGACUGAAAGUGGAGAGAUGUGAAGUAGUUUUCGGUCGUAAAUAAAUUAUAUCAAAUUUACAAAAUUUUUGAUUUUAUUGGAAUUUACAAAAUUUUUGAUUUUUUUAGAAAUUUUUCUGGAUGUUUUUGUUCUGUUUCACUAAAAGUGAAGAGACAUAAAGUAGUUUUCGGUCGAAAAUAAAUUAUAUUGAAUUUUUCAAAUUUUGGAUUGUUUGGAAACAUUUCGGGAUUUGUUUGUUUUGUUUCACUGAAAGUGGAUGAGAGACAUGAAAUAGUUUUCAGCCAUCAAUAAAUUAUAUCAAAUCUAUCAAAUUUUGAAUUGUUUGGAAACUUAUCGGCUUUCGUAGUUUUCGAUCAUAAAUAAAUUUAAACUAUCAAAUUUUUGGACUGUUUGGAAAUUUGUUGGAAGCGUUUGUUUGUUUGUUUGUUUGGCUUCACUGAAAGUGGAGAAGAACGAAAUAGUUUUCGGUCAUAAGUAAAUUAUAUCAAAUUUAUCAAAUUUUGGGUUGUUUGAAAACUUAUCAGGGGACGUGUUUGUUUCACUAAAAGUGGAUAGGAAUGAAGUAGUUUUCUAUUAUAAUGUUUGUUGUUUGAUUCAUCGUAAAUUUAAAAUCCCCAAAAUAUAAUUAUCGAUAACUAAAAUAAAAUAUUAAUUAAUAUCUCAUAUUUUUACUAUUUGAUUUGUUUAUUUUCUACCACACAAACAGCAAAAUUGAAUAAAUUUUAGUCCAUAGCUCUACAAACAGACAGCGAAGGAAAAGUAAUUUUUACCUGCAUUUUAGUUAAUUGAAAAUUUUACUUAAACCUGAAUUUAGUUUCAAUGAAAUAAAUAGACUAAUUUGGAAUUUUCAUGGAGAUGUAUUAUGUGAAGAAAAAUAAAAUAUAUUGAAGAUCCCCUCAAUUAUAGGCUAUUUGGAAAUAGAUUAGUCAAAUUUUAUUUUAUUUUUUUCAUUGAGACUUUGUGGUGUCCUAUUUCUUAGAAUUGAGUAAUUUUAGGGGAAGAGGAAUAAAAAUGUUAUCAAAUUUAUUGAUGAUUUUUAUCAAAUUGUUAAUAAUUGAGUGAGUUAUUAAAUUUGAUAAUAAAAACCUAAAUGAAAAAAAAUAGAUAAUAAGGGGGGGUUUAGUUAUCAAAUUGUUUUCUUUUCUUUUCUUUUCUUUGUUUUACUUUUUUUAAUUAAUUAAUUAAUUGUGUGACAUGUUUUUAGCCCUAUACUGUGAAUGGUGCUAAGGUGGUGCAUCUGAACCCUCGCGACAAAUCUACACCGUCCAAACCCAACUCCGGCGGCCCCGCGUGCCGGAUCUGCCGUCAAAGCGUUUGCAGCGAUCUGAGCCGCUACUGCUCCGUCGCCUGUAAGGUAGUUUUGUAAUUCCACCUCUCUUAUCCACAAACUUUUUCAUAACUCAACACUUUUUCACUCACGUCACAAUUCGAGUACAGCUAUCCGAAGAAGCAUCAGAAGAGGAAGAAUCAGGACAGUCGGAUGACAAUGCUGCAGAGCGAUCGGAGCCGUCGAUUCACGAUCCGACGUCCGAGCUUGACGAGAACGGUACCGAUAAGGAGGCGGACUCGUCUCUCGUGUACUCGCAGAACCAGCAGCAGCAGCAGGAGCAGCAACAACAGCCGUACGAUUCAGGGGAGGAGAAUCAGGGCUCUCGAAAGCAGCGGCGCAAGGGGGUUCCCCGGAGGGCCCCUGAGUUCUAGCAGAGGAGGAAACUUUUCGGUGUGAAUUUCGCGAAUUUCGCGCGAAAUUCGUAAUUUAUUUGUCGAAAUGAUUAUAAUUUAUUUUGGAAAUAUUUAUAGUGAGGGUCCUUAUAAUGUUGUGGAGUUUUUGUCCCUAAAUUUUGUGGUCAUGGGUCCCAUAAAUUGGGCUGUACAGCAUUCAAGAGAGAGAGAGAGAGAAAGAGAGUGUGUGAGUUCUACUUUUGGUUUGGACAUAUAGUUACCUUUUUUUUUCAUUCAUAUAUUUUAAAUUAUUUUUAUUUAUUUUUUGAGAUCAUUAAUUUGCCGCGUGAUAACACCUUCAUUUCAUUUCAAAGUUUACUGGGAUUUAUAUUGAAACCAUCUACUCUUAAGCAUAACUGGUCUAUCAGAGAAAAGUCAAAAUAACGUCUGCGCCAGCACUAUCGAUUGUUUGAUUGAUAGGGCACAUUUAUCAUGGGAAACAAUUCGUGUGGCUGAUUUUACUUGUGGGCAAUCGUCCGUUGUUUGAUUGAUAGGGCACAUUUAUCAUGAGAAACAAUUCGUGUGGCUGAUUUUACUUGUGGGCAAUCGUCCGUUGAUGAUUUGAUUUGUACAACAUUCGUUUAAUAAUUUCUUCUUUUUAUUAGAAAAUUUUUUGCUUGAAAUGACGCAUACAUAGCUAUCCAUCAGUUGUUUGAUUGAUAAGAACACCUUUGUUAUGAGAAACAAUGCGCGGGUUUGAUUCUACGUAUGUACAAUCACCCGUUGAUGGAGUUUGAUUUGUACAGCAUUCGGUUAAUAAUACCUUAUUUCUAUUAAAGAACUUUUGAUUGAAAUGAUGUCUGCAUAGCUAUCCAUCAAUUAUUCAGUUGAUAGGACACCUUUGUCAUCAGAAACAAUUCGCAGGGUUGAUUUUAUCUGCGUACAGUCAUCUAUUGAUGAUCUGAUUUGUACAACAUCCGGUUAAUAAUACCUCCUUUUUAUUAAAAUUUUUUUGCUUAAAAUGACGUCUACAUAGCUAUUCAUCGAUUGUCCGGUUGAUAGGACACCUUGAAACAAUUUGCGGGGUUGAUUUUAUCUGCGUAUAGUUAUCCAUCAAUUGUCUAAUUUGUAAAACAUCCUAUUAAUAAUACCUCUUUAUUAGAAAACUUUUGUUUGAAAUGGCGUUCGCGCAGCUAUUCGUCGAUUGUCUGGUUGAUAGGACACCUUUGUUGUGAGAAAAAAUAGUCAGGUUGAUUCUAUCUGUGUACAGCUAUCCAUCGAUAAUCUGAUUUGUACUGCAUCCGAUUAAUAAUACAUCUCUAUAGCCGUCCAUCGAUUGUCUGGUUGAUAGGGCACCUUCAUUACGAGGGACAGUUCGUGGGUUUAAAUCUAUUUAUGUGCAGUGAGUCAUCUAUUAAUAGUCUGAUUGGUACGAUAUCUUUCUUUAUAAGAAAUAAGUCACGGAAAUGAGCUCACCUGAAUAUAUUUGUGUGGGGACCGGAGAGCAUUCUUAUUAAAAAAAAUAAAGGCUUAUAUGCAUAAUUGGCUUUAGUACAAAAUUUGUGGGUAAUUAGUGGGAGAUUAGUUGUAGUUUUAAAAGUAGGGUCCAUGAAGUUGCAAUCUAAUGAUUCGUUGUGCCUAAACCUUUCUAAUCGGCUAAUGCGAUCCCGCCGAUCAGCAGGGUCCAUGUUGUUUUAUGCGUAUAUAGAAUUGAAAAGUUAUUUUGGUUGUUUGGUUUCAUAACUCACAUCCCGUAGAAACUCAAUCUUUCUGGAAAAACGCUCACUUCAGACCGGAGUCAAUUACGUAAAAAAAAAAAAAAAGUGAGAUGGAAAAAAGAAAAUAGUCAUUUAUCUCUCACUAACUCUAUCUUUUACUGUCUUCUACAUAAUUCACUUUCUGAUACAAAUAGCAGAAUAAGAAAAACUUUAGUUUCGCAGCUAUACAAACAAAUAACAGCAGAAAAAUAACUUUUAUCCGAACUCUAGUUCAUUCGAAAGUCUAUUUUAACCUGCAUUUCAUCUUCCAUAAAAUGAAUUGGCCAACACCAUUAUUGUUAUUUUACUUAUGAGGAUAAGUAUAAAGUAUUAGAGUCUUUUGUAGUCUAGCUAAUCAAUGUUUAGUGAUAUUUUAACUAGUUUUUUUUUUUAAUUAUUGUUAAGAUUUUAAAAUUUAAUUUUUAAAUUAGUUCAAAUUGAUUCUGAGUAACAAAUAACUAGUUUUCGCAUUAAGUGCAAUUAAAUUAGUGUCUUAAUUCUUCUAAUCUAAUUAUGUAUAUAUAAAGGAAAAAAAGAAAAAAAAAAGUUGUUUACAUUGAAAUUAUGAAGUGGCUGCACCAACAUUCAACUUUAUAUUCCACUAUCCAAAAUAAAAUAAAAAUAAAAAUAAUAAUAAAAAGUAGAUAAUAUAUUGCUUAUAAUUCUUUUAUUUAAUAUAUUUGUUUAGAAAUUUAAAAAAUAAAAAUAACCUUUUUUUUCCUUCCAAAUUCUAUUUUCAUAAAGGCAUAUAGGACUUACUCAAACUAUGAACUAUUUUAAAUCAACCGCCCAGCCUUUUUAAAAUUUUUAAUUUUACUUUGUAAUUUUUCAGUUUAUUUGAUUUGAAUAUGUUAACGACGCUUUUGAUGACCAGUACACUUCAUGUAAUUUCGCCACUAUAAAUUUAUUAAAAUAAGUAAUUGACUUAAAUUUUAAAGUCGAAGGACGAUUGACCGACUUAAAUCAAAUAAAUUGAAAGGUUAGAGAGUAAAAUCAAAAUUCUGAAUAAUUAGAUAAUUGAUUCAAAAUGGUCUACACUAUCUCACAUUAAACCAGAAAAUACAAAAAGAAUAAAAAUUCGAUAACCUGAAAUUUAAUAAUCUUUCUUUUUUUAAAAAAAUUGUCAUCUAUCACUUGACUCAGUGCAUUAUAAGUUAACCAAUCAUGACAAUAAAAAAAUAUCUUCCAUCAGUUUAUUAAAUUACAUAAAAUUAGUAUUUUAGAAAAUUUUUGAAAAAAAGACAGCGAUGCUAAACCAGUAGUUAACUUUUCAAAUCAUACAUGUGUGUAGAAUUGAAAAAAAAUUUGUUGACUAAAACAAUAUGUGACCCCUCACCAUUCAUAUUCAUCGGCGUGAUCUCACUGCCUUCCUUAUUUUCCGUGUGAAUCUCACGACAACCCCGCAAAUCGUAUAAAUUUUAUGAUUUUAAAAAGUUAGUUAAAAAUUUAGUUGAAAAAAUUGUGUCAUAUAAUUUAACUGAUUGAACCAGUGAACUUUGAACCAACAAAUUUUCCAGCUUCAUUCACAAUAAUAAAACAGUAUAUAAACACUAAUAAAAUGUAAGCGGUGUACAAUUGCAUGGUGCACCGGGUGCAGGCAAAAUAGAUACACCUGGUUGUGCGGAUUCCGAGGAGGUGGGUCCCACCUUAUUUGUUUUUGUGAUGUGUUAUUAUCCUUCGAUUAUUAUAUAUAUAUUUUUUAAAACAAAUUUUUUUUUUGUGAGUUUGUUUUCAAAACGUGAUUAGUACGGAUGUUUUGUUUAAAGAAUUUAUAAUUUAGUAAUUUAGAAUGUAUUUAGGCUUAAUUAUACUUAAGACCACACUUUACUUUACACAAUUCUUUUUUCCCACUUUUCAUAAUACACUAUUUUUUUAAAAAAACUAAAGGUGCUGCUCAAUUAUCUAUUUUUAAAUUUUUUUUAUACUGUAACCAAUAAACCUAUUCGCUGUUGGAUUAUUAUUAUUUUUAAAAUAUGGGUUUUUAUGAGUUUGUUUUCAAAAUGUGAUUAGUAUAGAUUUUUUUUUGUUUGUUUUAGAAUUUAGUACUUAGGAAUUUAGAAUAUAUUUUAUUAUCCUUGUUUUAAUAUAGAUAUUUUUAACUUUCUACAUAAUUCAUUAAAAUUUUAUAGGGUUCCAAUUUGAUAUUGAGAUCCAUUUAACGCUAACAGAUAAAACGAAGUUAAAAUAAAAAUAUAUAAAGGUAUGGUUUACAUUAAUAUGGAAUACUAUAUUACGUUCAAAAAUAAAUAUUUUAUUUUUAUUGUAUUUUUAUCUGCAUGUAAUGUAGCUUUUCGUAAUCCCAAAUAAAGCUUUUAAGGAUAGAGCAAUGUAAUGGGCUCGAUUCUAUUAGGCCUAUAUCACGGCCAAAGCGUGCAAUGUAGCGGCCCAUAUUCCUUCAGCACGGCACGGCACGGCACAGCAUAACAUGAUCAGCACCAGGCGGAUACAUAACUUGAACUCCGUACCUCCUACUGUGAUAAUACGUGAAACAACCGUUGUACUCUAAAAGCUUAAGAGACGUUUAGGUUCGAGACUUUUUAUAGGUGUAUGACGUGGAUAUGAAUUAAAUGGAAGGAAAUUAAUAAUGCUAGAGGUUUGAUAUUGACUCGAACUCAGAAUCUUCUAUUUUGAUACCAUAUAAAACAACCGCUAUACUCUAAAAGUUUAAGCUGUUAGAUGACGGUGUUUAUAUAUUUUUAUAUUUAACAAAUCCGACUGUGAAUUUGAAAAUUAUUGCGUAUGGAUUGAAGUUUCACUGUUCGUUUCAGAUUUGGAAUCGAAAUAAGAUCUCGAGUUAAAAAGAUUUUCAGCUUCAGAUUAUUUAAAUCCAAAACUAGUUUUAAUGUGUUUUCAAAGUCCAUAUUUAAAUUUUUUUUUUUUCAUUCAUAAUUUUUCUUUUUCUUUUGUAAAUCUUAUUUAGAAAUUUGUAGUAGCUGUGAAAGAACCGUUGUACUCUAAAAGCUUAAGCGUUACGUCUGGGCUCGAGACUUUUUAAUCGGCUCAUGACGUGAGCUUGAAUUAAAUGGGAGGAAAUUAAUAUGUUAGGAGCCUGGCGUGACUCAGAACUCAGAAACUCCUUCUCUGAUACCAUGUGAAACAACCGUUGUACUCUAAGCCCUUGUUUGGUUGGGGGUUAAGGGGUGGAAGCUAACCCCACCUCAAAUAAAUUAUUCCGGAUUAGUUAAUCCCACCUAACCCCACCAAACUCCAACAGUCCAACCAAACACUAUUUUCUAUUCAUAAUAACCCACUAUCUUUCUUAUCACACAUACUCCAACCAAUCAUUAUUCUUCUUUAUCAAUUAUUAUAUUCUUAUCCCACCUACUCCAACCAAACACUAUUUUUUAUUAUUCUAGACUAACUCCAACCCUCAACCAAACACAAAAAAACUUUAACCCCACUUUAAUCCUGAACUUAACUCUAUUCCUGGAAUAGCUACUUUUUCCUUAACUCCGAACCAAACGGAGGCUAAAAGUUUAAGCGGUUAGAGAACGGUGUUUAAAAAUUUUUAUAUUUAACAGCUUAAACAUGCAUCGACAAAUCCUCCUUUUUCUUUUAUUUCCAUAUAUUUCUCAAUUAUCUGAUUCAUUUACGUAUCCAUCUAAAACUGAACAUUCCAAAUUUGAUUUUAUGGAAUAUGGAUUUAAAUUUUAGUAUCGAUCAAUAUCCCAAACACGAAUAUGAAUAUAAAUUGAGCACUAAGUUUUUAAAAUCAUUGUUGGUAAAUUUCGUUACGCGCGGAUGAAUGAAAUUAAAUUGUAAGAAUUGAUUUGGAUCUCAAAAAAGCAAAUUAACAUAUUGUUUUAAGAGAUUAAGCUAUAUGUGUAGGAUGGGAAAUUAUUAAAUAUUAAAUUAAAUAUCACACAUUAAAUCAUCAAAAUUUUAUAGCAAUCAAAUAUAAUUUAGCUUAUAUUAUAUUUCCUUUAUUGCUCCAAAUUUACUAUUUGUAACAGAGUUCAAACAUUCUAUCAACAAGAUUUUGAUGAAUAGUUACAUUAAUCAAAGUAUACCUCAAACAUAUUUGAAUUUCAUUUAAUUCAUAUUUUUAACUUAUUUCGUAUACAUUUAUUUAUUUAUUUAUUGAGAGAUACCAACCAACUGAACUAAACGUUGCUGUAGCCGGAAUAUCGUCGGAACAUUUACUUGGUGAAAAUGAGCUCAACUAUUCGUCGGGGUCGCAGAAUAUAGCCGGCUUCGAGGGCUCGGUGAUCUCCACCGACCCCUCGAGCAUCUUCGCCACCUUCCCCAUCGACGGCCGCGUCUCCGCCCGAUCCUGCAAGCACCACAUCGCCGUCUUCACCAUCCUCUCCACCGUCGCAGAGUGCUCCGUUUCGUCGUAGCUCUCCAUUAUCCUCGGGUCGAGUAUCUCCCCGACGUUCUUCUCCACGUACACUUUCUCGAAAGCCCAUCGCGGAAAGUACCUGUCGAAUUCGAAAAUUAAGCUCGCUCUAUCUGCUUCUGCUUUUAGCUACAGUCAUCUCUAGCAAACGUAGUAGUAGUUUGAUAGUAUAUACCAUUCCUCGCUAUCGACAGAUUUUCUCUGAAACUCGAAGUUCCUCCUCCCGGAGACGAUCUCUAGGAGAACCAUCCCGAAGCUAUAGACGUCGGCCUUCGCCGUGAUCGGCUCUCGUUGGAUAACCCAUUCCGGCGCCAAGUACCCUCUCGUCCCCCGGAUCCGCGACAUCGUCACCUUGUCCUUCUUGGUAGCUAACUUCGACAAUCCGAAAUCCGAAACUUUAGGGCAGAAGUCGUCCUCCAGAAGUAUGUUCUCCGGCUUGAUGUCGCAGUGCAGGACCCACUCUAAGCACUCCUCGUGUAAGUAGGCAAUUGCGCGCGCGACGCCUAGGGCUAUGCGGUAGCGGAUGUUCCAGUCGAGGAGCGGGAGAGGGGGGGCGUCGGUAGCGGCGGCGGCGGGACGGCGGAAGAGGAACUUGUCGAGGGAGCCGUUGGAGACGUACUCGUAGACGAGCAUGCGCUCGUCCUUCUCGGCGCAGAACCCCCACAACCGAACCAGGUUGAGGUGGUGCAUUCGCGCGAUCACCGCCACUUCCGCCCAGAACUCCGCCUCGCCCCCGCCCACGCUGAGGAGGCGCUUCACCGCAAUCACGCGCCCGUCGGGGAGAUUCCCCUUGUAGACUAUGCCGUACCUGUCGGAUAUCGAAUACCAAAUAUCAAAAACAUCAUUCUCUGACAUUUUAAGUUAAUUUUAAAUCAAAAUAAAGUCAUUUCAAAAAGUAUCAUCAAGUAUCAAGUCUCACAAGUUCUAUUCAAUUGUACUUUUGUUCUUCAAACUCCGAAAGAGGCGAUUUCAAUGAAUGCUGAUGUUUUGUUGAUGUGACAGAAAACUUAUACUAAACGCAUCACCACCAUGUCAACUGCGCAUCGUAAAAUUUGAAGACCAAAAUAUCACGAAUCUCAAUGUUUAAGAACGAAUAGUAUAAUUUAUUCUUUUUGAAAAAAUAAAGCAACUUGAACUCAUCCUGUUUUUUUGCUAUUGUUGGGCUAGGAACCGAAUGCGGAGCGCGACAGGCCGGAUCAAGGCGUUAACCACGUCAAGUUCCUUCUGAGGAAGCAGAGUCGGGUCCUGACGUGACUCUCGAGUGCGCCACUGAUGAGUCGAAAAGCUAGAGUUUGCUAGCCUUGUAAAACUAUACACCGAGAAGGAUGCCUUAACAAGGAUGCCUUAGCGUAUCUUGGGACAACAAAGUUAACCCCACUAAAUAGGGAAGAUAAAAAGACAGUGAUUGGAGUGACUCCAGAUGAAAACUGAUUCCUGAACCUCUUUCACGCUCAUGUCACGUCGAGGUACUGCAGAAGAAAAAACUUUAAAAUCCCGAGCGGGAGCGGUGAAGUUCGGCCAAUCCAUCCUAUCCUGAAUUCUGAAUUGUUGCCCAAAAGGCUUAGCAGGUCAAGCGCGACAACGACAUCAGUCGCGAUGUGUUUUUUAGCCUUGCCAACAAUCCAGACCCUUUUGGAGCCCCCAAAGAUUCGGCUGAGGAGGGAUGAGCUCAACCGGGUUCUUCCGCAAGUAUUCACGAACUCGACUGGAUGAGCCGAGUGAUUCGGAGAUAAACUCUAACCCUAACCCUACUCUAUCAUGCUCGUAACAUCAAAAAACUAACAAGAAAAUGUACUGCAACUAGUGAGAAAAUCUACUGAAACUAACUCCUAACAGAGUUGUAGAUGCCAAAAAGAAAGGAAUUGAAAUUUGUUGUGGCCUCUUACUCGUGUGAAAGACUCCUCUUCCGGGCAUGCUUUUUCUUAUUUAUAAUUCGGGCUGCCAUUAUUUGAGUUAAUCCCGCCGUGAAAGUUCAUUCGGCCACAUCUCCAUCUCUUUUUCCUCGGAUCAUAUUUCGGCCGAUUUCUUGUUGGCUACAAAUUCAUUCCUCCAUGUAUUCAACCGCAUCUCGCUCAAAUUAUCUUUCCGUUUUAGGCAUGCGGUUUGUAGCUCCGGAUGUUCCAUGUGACGCUUUGUGUUUUGCUUCUUGUAAUUCGCUAACGCGGUUCGGACUGUUUUACCAUAUGACGCUAUUUUUAUGGCGCCGGGAGCUAGCUUAAGAGUAUUGAAUGCUGCGUGCAGAAAUUUAAAGAUAGAUAUCGUUGUUCUCCGAUAGCUUAAUAAGAGUAUUGAUCAGUGUACUGCGUGUAGAGAUUUAAAAACGCCGUUAUCAGAUAGCACAGCUUAAGCUUACCCUCCGCGGCCGACGACGUUGGAGAAGUCGGCGGUGGCGGCCUUGAGCUCGGCGUAGGAGAAGCGCUUCGGGCCGCCGCCGCCGGGCAGGAGCUCGAGCCCGAACGUGCGCGCCAUGUCGCGGUACUUGGAGUACUUCCUGAGGAAGGCCCAGAAGGAGAGCACGCCGACGAGCAGCUCGGCCGCGAACAGCCCCGCCACGGCCGCCGCGUUGCGCAGCGUGGCGCUGCCCUCCUUGGGCGGCACCGGCAGCGCCACGCGCACCGGGCAGACCGUCUCCACCGGCGCCGUCAUCCCCGUGAAAUUGCUGGCGUCCGUCUCCGACGCCGACACCCGGACGAACAUCGCCAUCGCGUUGGCCGGCGACCAGUAGCCGUCCACGAGCGCGCCGAAGUGAUUGUAGCACGUCCGGCCGCCGGUGAAGUCGUAGCUGAAUCCGACGCAGGUGGCAUUCUGCACGCAGGCCGACCGGCAGCCGUCGAAAUUGAGCGGCGAGUGUUCUGCAUACUCGUUGCCGUCUGCGACGAAGCUGACGUAGUCGAGCCGGAGGAACUUGCUGUCGGGCAGAAAGCUUCGCCGGAGGGCGCAGCUGGAGGUGCCGCCGGCGGCGGAGGAGGAGUUGCGGAAGCCGGGAGGGCAGACGCAGGAGGUGGAGAAGCUGCCGUUCGGGAGGCAGAUGGAGUUGUUACCCCUGCCGCAGGCGGCGGGGACGGUGCAGAGCUCCUGGACGGCCUGCCAGACGACCUCCCAGGGGGGGCGCAGGCUGUAGACGCGGAGGUUGCCGUCGUCGUCGAGGGUGAGGCGGCGGAGGGCGGCGGGGCGGCGCAGGUCGGACACGACGUCGGUGUUGGCGUUGUCCAUCUGGAGCUGGCCGUCGGGGGUGAGCUUCUCGAUGCCGGCGCGCUCCGUCCAGUAGCCCUUGCCGCCGUCGGAGAGGACGAGGGUGGAGCGGUUGACGAGGAGGUAGAGGCCGUUGCGGGAGCGCAGGGUGGGGUUGGACAAAGGGGCGGACUGGUUGCUCCGCGUUGGGAGCCAUGGCGAGUCCGCGGAAGUGAAGGUCGAGGUAGAAUUGGAAAUGGAAAUGGCGGAGGAGAAGAGAUAUGGGACGAGGAGGAAGAAGAGGAGGAAGAGGAAGGAGAGAGGAGAAGGAGGAGGAGAAGUCAUGCCCAUAUGGAUGAUGGAUGCCUUGGAUUAACUAAUUGCGAUGUGAAGAAUAAAUAAUAUUAGAGUCAUCUGGCUGCGUGAGACUCGUCCAGCUAGUCUUAUCAUUUUUUUUUUUUUUUUUUGGAUAACUUAGCCUGCCAUUCAUCAAUCAAGAGUCAAGACUCAUAUGAUAGUUUCAGUUUACCAAAAUUAUAAUCCGUUGAAUCAAAAUUACUGACUCAAAAUACUUAUAUCAAGUUAUUAUUAUUACUAGAAUAGAAUCCUCUUUUAUAUUUAAUGAUAAUUUUAUUCUCAUCUGAUGUGAAAUUAUUCUUCGAAUGCUACGACUAUACAGUUGAUAGUACCAAACGCUUGGUUUUAUCGAAUUUUCUACGGUUAGAUCUAUCUUUCUGAUCAUUUUCACUUGUUAGGUCAUACCAUUCAACCAACUACCCACUCAAUUCUAGAAAAUACUAUUUUUCUAAUCGAGAAUUACUACUAUCCUAACCGCAUAUUCUUUUUUCUAACAACCGAACCCACCUAAUAGCGUCAAUGACUUGUUACUACUAAUAGUACAGUGACCUAGUUCUUAUUUUUAUAUAAAUGAUGCGUCAAUAUUUAGUCAGCUGAUUUAGAUUGUAACACUUAAUUACAAUACAUCUAAAAUCUUAAGUCAGAAAUUAUCAAAAAUUAAAAUUUGAGAACCAAACGUGUAAUUUAUCCUAAUCUAAUUUAGUUGAUUAAAUACUGAUAUAAUACUAACAUAAAAAUAAUAUAAUAACAAUCGAUAAUUAAUAAUGCGAUAAUAGUUAAAAUAUAAUAUCACUUUUUUAUGAGCAACAUGUUAAUAUAGUCUGCCAAAUUAAACUUUAAAAAUUAUAAUAAAUAAAAAUUCUCGGUGGGACGAGAGGAUGGUCAACGGAGAAUAGUAAAAUGAGGUGUUUUUUUAAAUUUUUUAUAUAUAUUUAUUUUAUUAUAUUUAUUAUUUAUUAUAAAUAUUUUUGAGUGGUUAGUAAUAGGGUUUGAAUGAUGGGAUUGGAUAUUUAACGAUCUCCUGGGACCCAUGACGUGCAAACGAGACCAUUGACUCUGAUUUUUUUUUUUUUUAAUACUUAUAUUUUAUUUCCCCCUCUAUAUUCUAAAAUAUUAUAUUAUUAUUAUUAUUAUUAUUAUUAUUAUUAAAUUAUUUAUUAUUUUAAUUAUUUUUUGACUUAAAAGUGACAAAUUUUCCAAAAUAACGCAAUUGAUUUUGACCCCCACUUUGGUCCAAAAUCAAAUAACAAAAAGAGUGAGAAAAAAUAAAAUAUGAACUCAUCUCUUAUACUUUUUAACUUUUACGUCAUUUAUUUUUUAUCAAAUAAAUAGUAAAAUAAGUGGAACUUCAAUUUCACAAUUAUACAAACAAACAACGAUAAGAAAAUAAAUUUUAUCUGCGCUGUAACUCAGUGAAAAGCCUACUUUAAUUUGAACUUGACCUACGAAACAAAUUAGUUCCUAAUAUACACAUAUAUCAAUGCUACAUUAUCCAUUUGAAUAAUAUUUUUAUUUAUCAUUGAGAAUUAAAUAAUAAAAUUAAAAAUAUCAGUUUGACAAAGAAUUGACCGAAUAAAAUAAUAAUUUUUCUUUCAGAGUAAACUAUAAUAUAAUAUUUUAAAAUUUAAAGCCUAAAAUAAAAAGAAAAUAGCAAAGUUUUAGGGGUUAGGAUAUUACGUGAGUAUCAUUUAUAACUUUAAAAUAUCAUAAUAAAAAGAAAAUAUAUUCUUGUAAAUGUUAAAAAUUUAUAAAUAUAUUCGUAGACUUGUCAAAUGUCGUGAAAAUUUUUUAUUUUAGAAAAGGACUCUUUUGUCUGUAUCUCAAUCCUCACAGCUGUUAAUUUUUUUAAAAAUAAUCAUCUUAUAUUAAAAUAAUAUAAUAUUAGAGUAGAACUUAAGAGUCAUUGUCGCUAAUUAUUAAUUCAAAAAUUUUAUGUUAUUAAAAAUAUACAAUUAAUUCACCUAAAGCGUACAAUAUAAUUAUUACGAAGUUUAAUUAUGACUCGACCCAACCAAUUUCAUGCCAUUUCGAACACGAUUUGACCCAACUCAAAUUUUUGCUAUUUUGAAUAUAACUCGAUCUAAUCUGUCAUCUCGUUAUAGGAUAGGAUACUAACCCUCCUUUAAGCUGUAUUAAGUUUGAAUUUUGUCCGACCUUUUGCUUAAUUUAAUAUUUUUUUAAUUAGUUUUUCGAUGUUAGACGUGACACCGUUGAUUGGAGGAGAAAGAAAAAAAAAUCAUGAAAUAAUAAUUAUUGAGUUAGAUUACAGAAAACAUCCUUAUAAAUAUAUAUUUUUUUAUUUUUUCUUUCUAAUUUUUAAAAAUUUAUAUUUAUUUUUUCAACAUUUCAUGUGACACCGUUGAUUGGGUAUAAAUUAAAAAAAAAUCAUGAAAUAAUAAUUAUUGAGUUAGAUUACAGAAAACAUCCUUAUAAAUAUAUAUUUUUUUAUUUUUUCUUUCUAAUUUUUAAAAAUUUAUAUUUAUUUUUUCAACAUUUCAUGUUGUUGUAUUUAGUCCUCUCUGUCAGCAUUUCAUUAUUAUUCUGUUCAUUUUUUUUAAUUUAUACCAAAAAUAUUUUUUAAAAUAAUAUAAAUAUAUUAAAAAUUAUUUUUUUUACAAAAUAAUAAGAAUAAUUUAAUUAUUUUGCCCUCUCUACUGACACCGUACUCCCCUAAAACAACUUUUGAAAUUAAAAAAAAGUAAAAUAUAAACUUUUAAAGUCAAAGAGGCGAAAGUGAAAUAGACGAAUAAUUAUAAGAAAAUUUUGGAGGAACUCAAAAUAUUUUUUUAUUUGAAAAUUAGUUUCCUCUAUAAUAGUCAUCAGUCAAAAGAAUAAUAGUGGAUUGAUGGGUUGAUGGAUUAGACUAAUUAAAGACUUUCCUAACCUAGGAGGUAAAGACUUUGACCAUGGACUUAAUUGGGUCUAAAUUGGGGUGACAUCACUCUGGUUGGUAUUGAGACCUAUCUAAUGUUAUUAGAUAAAAUGAAGUUAAGAAAAAAAUAUAUAAGAAUAUGUUUCUGUGUUUUUUGGUGGGACCGCAGAAAAUAUAUAGUAACCGACUCAUCGCGAUAUGCGGAAUGGAAUAUUACGUACAGAAACAAACAAAGUAUUUUUCCAACAUACUUUCUUAUCACACGUAACGCAAUCUCUCCACAAUCCCAAACCAUUCUUAUCACACGUAACGCAAUCUCUCCACAAUCCCAAACAAAGCCUCAGUUCAGUUCAGUUUUUAUAAUUUUUUUUAAAAAAAUAUUUUUACUUUAGUAUUUUGUGAUUUAAAGUGUAUCACUAUCGUAUCCUGUGAUUUAAUUUUUCUCUUUUUGUUAUCCCUUUAAUGUAAAAAUUCUAAUUUCUUUUGCUAAAAUCACUUAAUUUUAAAAAAAUAAAAUAAAAGUCGAGAGGUCUCAACAAAAAGGGAGUACAAUUGAGUGGCCUAUUUUAGAAUUGUUUAUAGUAGAGGGGUCUCCAUACGUUUUUAUCGAACCCAAUUUUUUCUUUGUUACGUGUUCGCAAUCAAAAGCCACAGCAUUAUAGAUGCUGACUCAUUAAUAAUAUAUCAGUAUAAUUUUUACUCAGAAAAUUUAUGUAGUCCGAUGCGAAUCAGUUUAAGUUGAAAAUUCAAUGACACGAAAGUACGAAACCCUGAGUUAACCAGAAUGCGAGAAAUCGGUUACUCAGGUUGAUGAUCCGAACCACGUAAAAUCCAAAGAAGGCCUAACUCGAUGGGUUAUGAAUGGGUCAGGCUUUGGGUAUUAAAAUUAUAAUUUUGAAUCUGUGCCGGGUUUAAAAAUUUUUGGACCUAUUAUUAAGAAUAUAUAUUGACAUAUAUGACAAUAUGUUAUACAUACAACUAAAUAUCUAGUUUUCAUAUGAUGAUAUAUUAUAAGUAGUAUUAGUAUGUAGAGUUAUACGCAUCACUGAAUAUAUAUCAGUCCGGCUAAGAUACUAUCGAUAGCACCAAAGGUUUGAUGCUAUCGAGUUUUCCACCCUUAGAUUUAACCCUUUGAUUAUUUUUACCCGUUAGAUUAUGCUUUUCAACCAACCACCCACUCAACGCUAGGGGACCCUCAUCAUCAUAACUGUACAUUUCUCAAUCCAAGGGCUAAAAAACUAAUAGCAUCAAUAACUUGUUACUAUUGAUAGUAUUUCAGUCUAGUUUAAUGUGUACUACGCAUUAUAUUAUAUGCAUUACAACUUUUGAUGCUAUGAAAUUUUGAGAUUCAGUUGAAUAUUGAUGAUGCUUUAGAGGUAAGCUAAAUUUUUGAUGUGAUCAAAUUCCAGUUUUAAACGUUUAAAAAUAGAUAUUUUUAUUUCAAUUUAAUAUAACAAAAAUGUAUAUGCGCCAAAUGCAUGUGGGCGCCUAAACAAAGCCCGAUGAGCAUUCGGCAUUGGGCUUGGGUUUGGAACCGGCGUUAAUUUUUUAAAAAAAAAGUUGGGUAAAAGUUCGACCCGAAGCCCAAUAUUUUUUAGAUCAAACUUGCGUGUAGUAUGACCCGACCCAAACCCGAUCAAGGUCAGCCCCUAUUUAUAAAUAAUAUAAAAAUUUUUACUUAUUUUCCUCCGACUACUAUUCAAAGUUUUUAAAUAUAUUCUGAAAUUAUCAAAAUACCCUUAUAAAUCUCAAAUCUCAUUAGUAAAUUCUAGAGGUUUUGGAAUAUUUGAAGAGAUUUCUAAAAAUCAUUAAGGCAUUUUAAUCGACCAAGAUUAUAUUAGAUAUUUCUGAAGUUUUGAAGUGUAUAUUAGAUAUUAUUCAAAUAAUUAUAUAAUAAGUAACAUUUAUAUUUACAAAAGAUUUUUUAAAAAUCUAGCUUAUAAUUUAAAAAAUGACAAAAAAAAAAAUCAUCCGAAUAAUGUAAUUGCGCUACUAAUAUCAUCUCGAAAGCGAGUUACGUGCAACGAAAAAUAGAUUAUUUGGAUGGGUUAGUGUCAUUUUCAAAAUUUAAGUGCAAAGACGAAAUAGCCAGAAAACGUUUUGGAGCAUUCGUUCUUCAAUGCUAUAAAAGAAUAGUAAAAAUAAUUUCAGAAAAAAAAAAAAAAUCAGUUCACAGUAUAAUUUACGCCAUGUAUAUAUUCGAGCUAUAUCGAGCUAAACUCGAGAUAGCUGAUUCUAACUAGCGUUCGGCUCGUUUAUUAAACGAGCGAUCAAUCUCAUGCUCAUUUCAAGCGGAACACGAACUGACUCGCAAACAGCGAGCGGGAUUAAGAGCUCCGCCUUAUAUGGAUGUAUUUACAAUUUUAUUGAUUUGUAGGGUUAUAACAAAAAAUGCCAUUAACCAUUAUUAUUAUUAUUAUUAUUAUUAUUAUUAUUGUUAUAUUUUUGGGUAAGCUUCAAAUACCACCCUCUGAUGUGAUUUUGAGCUUUCUUACUUUACUACCGUAUGAUUUAAAGUGUAUUAAGUUAGUGUUUUGUUGUUUCAUUUUUAUCUUUUCUUUAGUUUUUUCGUUAAUAUUUCGUUAAAUUAUAUACAAAAAAAUUUUAAAUAUCCCAUCUAGAUUUAUCAAAAAUUUUCACUUUAGUACCCAUUAGUUUUAACUUUAUUACUUAUUUAUAACAAAAAAAAAUUAGUGGAAUCGAUAAUAAAAAGAUAAAAAUAAAACCACUGGUCACUAAAUUGAUACACUUUAAACUACAGGGUACUAAAGUGAGAACGUGUGAAACCACGGAGUGGUAUUUGAAGUUUUCUCUAUAUUUUUUUAGUUUUGCGCUUUUGUGAACUCGGUCCAUAGACCGUGGUCCACGCAACAAACUUCUUCAUUCCCGCCGUAAAUUGCGCGGUAGUGUCGAAAUUUAUUGUGGGCCCCACAAGAGAACCUCGUCCAAUGGGACCACGCGGAGUUGCUUAGCUGGCGUUCGCUCAGUGGUCCUGGCUUUUUCCCAGAGGUGGGGCCCACGCACGCGCCAGCCAAUCGGCGUCACGCGUUCGCGUAGUCAGAGUGUUUUAGGCUUUUGCUUAGGUGGCGUUUCGUAAAACGAAUCAAAAUUUUGAUAUAAAAAAUAUUAUUUAUUUAAGAUAAAAUAUUUUUUAAUACAUUUUUAAGAAUUUAGGGAAAAUUAAAAAUUUUGUUUUUUGUUUUUUUUUUUUUUGAAAAAUGAAAAAUUAAGCUACCUAAAUUUUUUUUUUCUCCAAAACCGGACAAAUAUAGUUUUUUUUCUUGUAACCAAAUAAAAUUCGAUGAAAAACUAAUUUUUGUUCUACAAAUUAAAUACAUAUAAAAUUUUUUUCCACCGGAAAUUAUUUUUCACAAUUUUACGUUGAACCAAACGGACCCUUUUAUCUAUAAUUAUUUUUCAUAUUAAAAAUAAAUAUUACUUAAAUAGAAGCGGAAUUACAGGCAAAUUUAAUUUACGAGAAAUUUAACAACAAAAUUUAAUAUUUUGUGGUUAAAAAUAAUUUCAAUCUACUUCACUUUUGAUGAAAUAAGCAUCCCCUUAGGGUAUGUUGAUGAAAACCUUUUUAAUAUGAAAAAUAAUUAUAGAUAAAAGGGUCCGUUUGGUUCAACGUAAAAUUGUGAAAAAUAAUUUCCGGUGGAAAAAAAUUUUAUAUGUAUUNAAUAUUUUGUGGUUAAAAAUAAUUUCAAUCUACUUCACUUUUGAUGAAAUAAGCAUCCCCUUAGGGUAUGUUGAUGAAAACCUUUUUAAUAUGAACAUUUUUUUUAAUUAAGAGGUAAAAAUUUAAUUUUUACUGUUUGAAAAUUCUGACGUUUAUAAUUUGGUAGGACAAUAUUUUUUAUCUCUGAGAUAAUUUAUCUUAUUUCAAAAAAGACCGAAUAUGCUAUUUUAUUUUAGACGUUUAAUCUAACUUCUAAUUUUCGAUCACAAUAAAACUAUUUUUAUACUGAACAGAAUAUUACUGAAUAACUUAUUCUGACAUCCAAAUAGAGCUUGUCAGAAUAAGGCUAAAUUUUACUUUUAUUUUCAAAUAAUGAGGCGAGUGAUAUUUUGGAUCUCAAACUUUAAUUUAUUUUAAUUUAUGGCUCAAGUUUUUUAGAUUAUCAUAAUUAAAUCAUACAAUUUAAUUUAGUUGAUUAAAUAUGUUUUUGUUUGAUAUAAUAAUGACGUGUUAUUUUAUUCAUUGCCAUAUUACUAGUUACAAUACAGUCACAUUAGUGACACAUUGUCAUUCAAUCAACUUAAUAGCAGCGUGAGAUUUAAUUACAGUAACUUUAAAAAUUAGAGUCAGAAAUUAUGAGGAAUUAUAAUUCAGGGAUCAAAAUACCACAUAUCUUAGAGUUUUAGGGCCAAAAUUUAUGAUUUAGCCUAUUUGUAAUAAUUUACUUAUAACAUACUUGAGGGUCAAUAUUAGUUCGCGAAAUGGAGUUGGGACGAAUUAUUUAGAAUUUUUUGCAUUAUUUUUCUAUGGGACUGUAAAAAAAUAUUUUUUAAUUAAUUAAGUACGAUAUGGAUAUCUAAUAUUAACAAGCAUGAAAUUAAUUAUUUCAAUCCAAAAAGUACUAUAAAAACUUGUGAAAAAAAAUUAAAAAAAAAAAAAAAGAGAUUAUGGGAGAGGGACACUCUGAAAUGUGACAAGGGGCUUGGAAUAGCAAGCCCAAUUCCCAAGAUGGUGACAUCUAAUAACAAGCUACAAGUUCUUAAUCACAUGAUAAUUAUUAAUUAUAAGCACAUGAAAACCCCAUUUCUCAAGGUUGUCACAUGUAGUGGGUAAUCACAUGUUAUUUAACACUCUUGAUACAACCAAUAAAUGCAUGAGAAAUUUUUCAUAAAAUUAUACUUAAUUAUUGUGUUGUUAUUGUAUGAUGAAUGAUUAAAAAAAAAAAAAAAAGGUAAACUUCAAAUAUCACUCCUGUGAUUUCGCACUUUCUCACUUUUAGUGCCCUAUAGUUUAAAGUGUAUCAAGUUAGUGUACUGUGGUUUCAUUUUUAUCUUUUCGUCAGCUUUGUCGUUAAUAUUUCGUUAAAUUAUAUACGAAAAACUAAAGAUACUCCAUUUAGAUUUAUCGAAUAUUAACUUUAGUACCCUUUCGUUUUGACUGUCACUGAUUUAACGAAAAAAUUAGUGGAAUCAAUAAUGAAAAGAUAAAAAUAAAACCACAGGAUACUAAAUUAAUACACUUUAAACCAUAGAGUAUUAAAAUGAGAAAGUAUGAAACCACAUAGCUGGUAUUUGAAGUUUUUUCUUAAAAAAAAUUAUGCUCAACUGUUCUAUGAUAAUUAAAAAAAUUUUACUUUACUAUUAUAUUUGAUAGUAAAUUUUUUUGAGUAAGAGUAAAAAUAAAAUCACAAAUAGUUAUAUAAAAUUUUUUGAACUAUAAAGUGGCAAGCAAAAAGAAGCUUAAUUAUAGGGAGCAAAUUGAAGUUUAUUGUUUUUUAAUUAUGGAAAAUGAUUUGGGUUAUCUAUCAAAUCUAUCAUAUGCAAUGAUUCCUAACAUUUGCUGUUAUCCUAUUUGCAUUAGGUGGCAUCUCAAACCUUUUUGAUUACAGUUAUUAUUAUUUCCUUUUUUUUAAAGUAGGAUAAACUUUCCAUAUGUGCUCAAAAUUUAGGGUUUAGAAGAGAUUUUUUUAGAGGUGUGGAGUCUACAUCCAAGUCAUUAAAACAAUAAUAAAAUAUUUUGUAAUAUUUGACUGAUGCGGCAUUUUUUAAAAUACCGAAUUUAUAGGCUGUUGAUGAGCUGACAUACAUAAUUUGAUUUAGAAGUCAUAUGAUCAUCUUAGUUUCGUAGAAUCGUGAAUUCAAAUCCUCAUUACAAAUAUUUGAUGGAUUAAAAUUCCAAUAGAUUAAAUCAUAAUAUCUUAGCUUAGCUAUCAUUAGCUCUACAUAUCUUUCACAUCUAUCAUGCAUAUGAAUAUUGGUGUUAAAUGCAAUUUUUGAACUAUUUUUUAUUAAUGUCUAUACAUUUUUUGAUUCUAGAAAAUUUAAAAAUCACUACUAAUUUCUUAAAAUAAUUCUACUUAAUCAGCACUUCUGCAAAAACUCUGUCUGACGAAAUUUAAAAUUUACUCACAUCAAAAGGAAAUUAUUAUUGUUAUUAUUAUUUUUCAAGUAUGUCUCAUCAUUAGGCAAUGAACAAUACAAAGUCUAAAGUAAAUGGGGUACAAGGACAUUAAAACAUAGAGAAGAUCAAGUGGCUUAACUAAGAUCAUCAUACAACAUACAUAAAGAAGUUAAAAAGAAAAUAAUAAAAAGAGAGAGAAAAAGAAAAAGGAAAAGGAAAAAAAAACCAACAACAACAACAACAACAACAACAACCAAAACCAAACCAAGAGGAGCAUCUAGAGGGAAUGAACAAAACCUCACUCAACAACCCAUAAAUAGUACAUUCCAUUCUCUCUCUCUUUUUCUUCUUUUUUUCACUUAGACUACCUCCCAUCCGCCGACGUAAACGAGUCGGCGAACCCCGGCGGCCGUGUCGGUAUGCUCGUCUGCGUGUUGUCCAGGCUGGCGAGGAACGACGACGACGAUGUGGCGCCGUCGAUGUAGCUGCUGGUGCCGCCGUUCUCGAAUGCCUGCCACUUCUUGAGCGCCUGCGGGAGCGUCAUGUCUAGGUCGAUGCCGUAGCUGUCCUGGUCGGAGUCGGGGUCGGACGGUUUCCACAGCUCCGCGAGGGUCGAGAGCACGUUGACCGCGUGGCCCAUGUCGGGCCGCUGGUGCGGCUCGCGCGCGCAGCAGUGGCCCGCCAGCUCGGCCACCGUGCUGACGCUCGCGAGGGUCUCCCCGUCGGAGACGUCGAUGGUGGGGUCGAUGGCCUUGCGGAAGGUGUCCUUGUUGAGCUGCAUUCGGCGGAACCAGGUGACCAGGUGGACGCUCUCCUCCGGUUGCGUCUCGUCCAACGCCUUUCGGCCGGUGAUUAGCUCCAUUAGAAUCACGCCGAAGCUGAACACAUCGGCUUUCGUCGUCACCCGGCCAGUAACUGCAAAAGAAGUGAUAUUCAAGUACAAUUAGGGUUUGCUUAGAUUGUAACACUUUUUUUUUAUCAUCUUAACAUUGUUUUCUUGAUGUUAACAGUUGAAACCCACUGUUGAUAUUUAGCCUGUCAUUGUCAUGUAGAUAUAUAUAUAAAACAAUAAAAGAAACUGAUAAGAUUAAGCAACUGUCACUUUCUUUUAUGGCGUUUUCCGACAAAUCUCAUUAUAUUGUAACAUGAAAAUAUAUGACAAUAUCAUGUUUACAGCUUCAAAACAUUGAAUUUCAUGUCGACACUCGUAUAUCAUUUAUUUCAUCAUCAGUGUGUCAGAUAAAGUCUAUACAAUGUAAAGCAACAAAUGAAGAAGCUAAAUCUGUCUAUGUUGAACAUUUUCCGAUUAGCGUAUUCGCUAUUUUACUUUUGAAGCAAUCAAUCAGAGAAUCGCAUAUAUUACUCAUCGUGAAGUUAAAAACAUAUCUAGCAGCAGCAGGUGAGAGAGAGAGAGAAGAAUAGCAUAAAAACAGGGAAACUGGAGACAAGAAUAGCUUUACAUCUAAUUUUACAUCCUACAUUAACUGCGAUAAUAAAUGAUUCUACAGUGUUAACAGAAAUAAAUUUGGAUGCAAUAAGGUCUUGUUUAGAUGUCCGAGUAAGUUAUUCUAAGAUAAUUUAUUCAGUAUGACGCCGAAAGGUGAAGUUCAAUUCUUACUCCUUUAAAGGCUUUGGCAUCCACGAUUCGGCAAGAAAGCAUAUUGUGAUUUAUCUUAUUCUGGAAAAAUGACUUCAAAGAUGCUAUUCCAUUUUAGACAUUUCGCCAUAUUCGUAGCUUCCGAUUAUAAUAGAAAAUCCUUGUACCAAAUAGGAUAUCACUGGAAAACUUAUUCCGACAUUCAAACAGGACCUAAAAGGAUCACACAAUUCCACGGUUGAUUGGAAUAGUAGUAUUUUGGUUAUCUUAGCAUAAUCUAAUUUGAGCACAACAAUUAUGUCUAACUGUUUAAACCUGCAUUCGACACAAUAAGUAAGAUAACCCAAGUAACUUAACCUGUACUACUAUUUCCCAACCAAUAAUCCACAACCUUAACUAGAGCACGAAUAUACUCAAAUUACCACCAUUAGGAUGUAAGGAAUCUAGAAAGAUCACCUGCAUACUCUGGCGCGAGAUACCCGAAAGUCCCGGCCAGCCUGGUCUCAACAGAACAGCACUUCCCAUCAGCAGGAGCGAGCCGGACCAGCCCGAAAUCGGCGACCUUGGCCUUCAUAUCAUCUCCGAGUAGUAUAUUCGACGGCUUCAGAUCCCUGUGGAUGAAGCUCUGAUGCGCCAAACUAUGAAGAUACUCCACGCCUCUCGCCACGUCCAACGCGAUGCUCAAUCGCUUCUUCCACUCCAACGGCUUCAGCCCUUCCUCCUUCCAAUCAAACAGGUGGCGGCUCAGCGUCCCCUGCGGCAUGUACUCGUAGACCAAGAGCCUCUCGUUGCCGUCCAAGCAAUACCUGUUGAUGUAAGGCAUUUAGAACACUAUCACAUCACAACUUAAGCUGAGCUUUUAGAGGAGAACGGUCGAUUCGUAUAUGCAAAUACCCGAGAAGAGAGACCAAGUUACGGUGCCGGACUUUGGUUAGAACCGCGAUCUCCGACUUGAACUCGUUCAAGCCCUUGGUGCCCAUCGCGCCGGCCGCCUCCAUUCUCUUGACGGCGAUCUUGGUUCCGUCGUGGAGCUCGCCCUUGUAGACGGUUCCGAAUCCGCCGCGGCCCAAGAUGUUCUCCUCGCUGAAGUUGUUCGUCACGUUCCGGAGCACUUGAAUGGAGAUGACCAUGUUCCCUGCCUCGACCUUACGAUUGCGAAUUCGAUCACACGUUUAGCAUUCUCAUUAUCAUUUUCUACUCUAAUGCAUUGAUUGUUCAAUUGUAAAGCCUAGCCAUACUCACAACGUGGACGUCGCUCGGACCGCUGCUGCUCGUGCGGCUGUGGGUGUCGCUCGCCGGCCCCGCCCCGCCAUUGGGGGCGGCCACGGUGAUCUUGACGACAUCGGGAUCGGACCCUGAGUGGCGCGGGUGGAUCACCGUCGUGUUCGGGCUCUGCACCCUGCUGAACCGCUGCUCCUUUCGCUUGUAGUAGCAGAACCCCAGCACACCGGCCAAGCUAAGGGCCGCAACCGCCGCGACUACCGAACCAACGAUGACCCCCACCGAAGAAGACGAUGGCCUCCGGCUAUCGACACCAUCACCACUGCCCGGUGAGCCCGACGUGUUCGACCCAUUGCCGCCGCCGCCGCCGCCGUCGUUAGAGCCAGCUCCGGAGCUCGAAUUCCCCGCCCCCGGAGCGGGGCCGUCCUCUCCGAUAUUCGGAUUCCCCGCGGUGUUCACCAGCACGUUCUUGCGAAACGCGGGCACCGGCCCCCAGAGCGAGUUAUUGGCCACGUCCAAUUCCUUGAGCGCCGGCGAAUUCGCGAGCUCCGCGGGGAUGGUCCCGGAGAUGUUGUUGUUCGACAGAAGCAGCCGCUGCAGCGAGGGGAACUUGGCGAAAUCCGGCGAUAUCGUCCCGGAGAGCCCCAUCCGCUGGAAGCUGAUCACCGUGACGUUCCCCGCGGCGUCGCAGCUGACGCCAAUCCAGUUCCCGGCGCACGGGUCGUUGCCCUUCCAAUUCUGCGCGAAGCGCACCGGGUACCCGAACGACCGGGCGACGGACAGCAGGAGGUCCACGCGGGGGUCGCAGUCGCCGGGGGCGUCGCGGCAGAAGCUCUCGCUGGAGACGACGAGGUCGAGGUCGGCGACGGUGGGGGGGAAGACGGGGACGGGGCCCUGGAGGAGGUUGUUGGUGAGGGUGAGCUUGGCGAGCGAGGGGAGCGCGGUCAAGGCGCUCGGGACAAUGCCGGUGAGGCGGUUGUCGCGGAGUUGGAGGUCGCGGAGGUCGGCGAGGGCGGAGAGGUCGUCGGGGAGGGGGCCGGAGAAGUCGUUGGAGUGGAGCCAGAGCUGCUGGAGGGAGGAGAGGUUGGCGAGGAAGGAGACGGGGCCGGAGAGGCGGGAGGGGCCGAGCUGGUUGUUGAGCCAGAGGGAGCGGAACGGGGCGGAGGCGGAGGCGGAGGCGAAGGAGGAGGGGACGGGGCCGGAGAGGGAGUUGAAGGCGAGGGCGAGGUGGGAGAGGGAGGGGAAUGCGGAGGCGAGGAAGGAGGGGAGGGGGCCGGAGAGGUUGGCGGAGUUGGCGGAGAAGUUGACGAGGGCGGCGGCGUCGCGGAGGGAGGCGGGGAGCUGCCAGGCGGAGAAGGGGUUGUUGUCGAGGGAGACGGCGGAGAGGGAGGAGAGGCCGGAGAAGAAGUCGGGGGGGAGGGAGGAGAAGCGGUUGGAGUGGAGGAGGAGGACUUGGAGGGAGGAGAGAGCGGGCGGGGAGAGGGAGGGGAGGGGCCCGGAGAGGAGGUUGGAGUGGAGCUCGAGGCGGGUGAGGGAGGAGAGGUUGCGGACGGCCGGGGGGAGGGAGCCGGAGAGGGAGCGGUUGCCGGCCUGGAUGGCGACGACGCGGCCGUCGGGCGAGCAGGACACGCCGGGCCAGCUGCCGG
rnacentral:lncRNA from 1 species